GCGGGUGCCACCCUGCCUGCCAGGACUGCAUCAAGUCCAGCCUCAGCGCCGAUCCGCCGGUGUACCAGUGCAUGGACCGCGUCCCCAACUUCUGCGACCGCCGCUGCACCGCCGCCGCCGCCCACUGACCGGCCGGCUGAGCGAACGACUGAUUGCUGUGGAUUAUAGAUUUUUGUGUGUAGAGAGAGAGAGAGACGAGGAAUCUGUUCGUCUGAUGAGCAACCAACCAAACCAAUCUUGGGAUUUUUUUUCUCCUUUUGUUUUUUUGUCUUUUGUCUUGACACUGCUCUUUGCCGGCUACUACUGCUUGGUUGACUGUUCUUGGUUGCGACUUGCGAGGAGAUAAGCACGGUGAAUCACCGGAAUUUGGAAAAAAAAAUUGCUUUCCUUGCUGGUUUUUUAGCUUGGUCACGCCGACCCUGCCUCGGAUAAUUGAGGUCCACGCCACACGAGCUUGGCCGAUUUUUCGUCUGGACAUUUUUGGGAACACAGAUGCUGCCUCAGUGCCUCUCUGUCAGGGAUGCAGGAUGAUGGACCUGGACGCUAAUCCGGUCUCCGGCGCGACGCGAGGCCGAGGACGAGUUCCAGGGUCAGAUUCACCCUCCAAAACGACAGGGGUGUUCUCACUGAUCCGAUGACAACAGGCACUGCAAGUGGAGACUCCUACCCCGCACUCGCACUCGCACUCGCAGAUGCGCAUUUUCCGCGAGGAUAUGCGGCAAACAUGCAGCGUCUGAAUUUGGAGCCUAGUUUCUUUCAAAAAAAAUAAAGAAUUUGGAGCCGAGGUGGGGAUAAAGGCAGGGAAUAUGUCAUCCAAGGAAGAAACUAGCUGCGGUGUAUCUGCAUACGUGUUCUUGGUCGAGAAAACUAUGCUGCUACUUGCAACGUGGUAGCAUUGGACACUACAAAUUCAUGAAAAAUCAACAAACUGGUGGAAUUUUCUUUUUUCCAGAGUAGCACGAAAAUCAACAAACGUUCUCUUUUGAAGUCAGGAGAAGGAUUCACUAGUGCACAGCUCUGGUGGAGUUUUCUUUUUUCCAGAGUAGCACGAAAAUCAACAAACGUUCUCUUUUUGAAGUCAGGAGAAGGAUUCACUAGUGCACAGCUCUAAUUUUUUUUGAGGAAAUUGCAGAGCUCUAACAAAGUUUAGAUUAGUACGGAGCUCUAUUUUUUUAGGAAAUUGCAGAGCUCCAAUAAAGUUUAGAUUAGUACAUAGCUCUAUUUUUUUUAGGAAAUUGCAGAGCUCUAAUAAAGUUUAGAUUGAGCAACUCCAAGAGUCUAAAAAAAAUCUCCUCCAAAACUAUCUAUUGGGGACUCUACUAAAAAUUUAUUCUCUUAAAAUCAUGUCAUCCCACAAUAAUAAACUUCCCAAUACUUCAAAACUGACCACGUCAGCACCAAGUAGCUUCAAAAUGCGCCGCCCAUGCUCCGGCCGUGCCGCGUCGGCGGCGGCCUCCGCUCGCUGCUGCUUCUGCUCCUCUUCACCGUGCUCCUCUCCGUCGCCACCUUCUCCCUCCACUCCCCCGACCCCCUCGUCGUCAUCGACGCGCCGCCGUGGAAGCCACAGCUAAUUCGCCCAGUACGGCGGGCCAAUCGUGGCCCUACCCGCAGCAACAUCGGGGCGCACUCCGGUCUCAGCAGCAGUAGACCGGGCACGUACCACCCGCCCGGUCCCACCCAUCGAUGCCGCACCCCGCGUGGAAGAAGUGCGGGCACGGUAGCACCCGCAUGAGCUCGUCGCCCCCGGCGGUGUAGUCGAACAGCCAGAUGUCGCAGCGCUUGCCCGCAUUCCCGCCGCCACCUUCACCUGGGCGUACGUCACGAGCGUGUUGGCACCGAGCGCGCGCUCGCUGUCGUCGUGCACCGCGCCGCCGGUAGGCUCGUAGGCGCACGAGGAGGCGGCGGCGGAUCGGAGACGCUCUUCCACUGGAAGAGCAUCCGUUGGGCAGUGCGUCCAUUGGGCAGCAACCGCGAGCGUUUCAGAGCUCUUAUACUACCUGGAGGCGCCACCGCAGCGUCUUGGAGUGAACGCCACUGCGCCGUCGAUGGAAGGGAGGCGGAGGAAUUGAUGGAGACUACGAAGGACCGGAUCGAACCCGCGCGCCGGCGAAGUCCAGUGGCGUCUCGUGGCCGCAACAACUUUUGAAGUACCACACCGUUAUGUCCUCCACCACUACCUCGAGCACGCACCGCCACUCCCCCGACGGUGUCCAUCACCCACACACGUGCACUCCCUUGACGCCGUCAUGCGGCAGAGAGCAAUUGGGCUGCUUGUCACGGAUGUUGAAGCCACAUUGCCGGAGCCGCCCGCUAGUGGACCUGAGGGACCGCACCAUGCGCUCCACGGACCCCUCCGCGAUGGGCGGCUCACAGAGCACUGUGGCGUGACCGCACCGCCGGCUCAGCCAGUAGAAGCACGUGUCGACAUGGAUCCCAGGGGACGCGGUGUUGAGGCAUCGAGACAUGCCCUGGGCGCCGAGCGUGGUCGUGGCUCAUCUCCCGGUCGCGGAGGUGAAAAACGCCACGAGGACGCGCCGGAAGCGGGUGCGGGUGAGGAUCAUGACGGUAAAGGAGACUACGAAACAGUACUAGAGCGAUCCGAGAAAAACGAUUCGAGGUGAUUGUGGAAGAACCAGUAUGCGGGGCGAUGGAGGUGCUUUUAGCGUCCAUGCAUUUUUACGUGGAGGAUGCAGGGUUGUUGGAGGUAAUUUUUUUUUGUUUUUCUCCAAAAUAAGAUUCUGGGGUAAUUUUGAAGGAGCUCCUGUAGUUGCUCUAAGUAUCAACAAGCACAAACCAGAGAACAGGCUUGUUGGGCCUGUUAUCCGAGCGGUUCUCAUAGAAGCAAUGGCCCAAAACAAGAAAAGGCCCAAAGAGGCCCAGGAGUUCUCGGCGGCAGAGCGGAGAAUCGUUCGGUUCUGUCUGCGAGUUCUUUAGUACCACCUCGGCUGCUGAAUGCGGACGCGCCGCAAGCUCCCGCUAUAAGAUGAGCGCCCCGUGCCCCGUUGCUCCAUACUUACCUGGACGGGGUCGACGGGCGAUCAAGAAGGCCCGUGGCCUAGGUCAGUGGCCCGCAUUGCACUUGGCGGGUGCGCUGGCUUACCAUCUCCCCAAGUGGGAGAGUGGACGUCAUAAUUUGUGGUAGAGGGGGUACGCGUUCGCGCGGCCCCCACCAAUUCUAACAAAUCAAAAUGUUGUCCUUAGCCCUCUGGGCUGUCUCUAGAAACAGGGGCGUUGCUGCAAUUUGUGGUAGAGGGAGUAUUUUACUCGUAUUAAAAAAAUAUUAGCAGUUUCUAGUUGUAUGGUUUGAUCUGAAUGGUUGAAAGAAAUAAAGUUGCGUUAUUUUAUUAGCACGUGCAAAGCCACGCGGCCAAGCUGACCCAGCCAUGGCGACCCAUGGCCUUCUCCCCUCGUCACUCUUCGCAUCCACCACCGCCAUUCGCGCCAUCGCAGCGCCAACCCGCACCUGCCACCGCGUACUCUCCUACGGCACCCGCCGCCGCCGCCCCCUGGCCUUCGGCCGCCGCGCGCCGGCGAUGGACGCCCUCCGCGUGACGGGAGCCGCGGAGCCGCUCCUCCGCCCCUCCGUCGGGGGACACCCCAGGCUCCGCGUAUGCCGCUCGACUUAACCCCCAAUCGGCGGCUAAACAUAGCCGUUGCGCGCCCCCUGCUAUUCUGGGGAGGAAGGCGGGGUCUGGUUGGCGGUGAAGGUCUGACGACAUGGAGGUCGAUGUGCAGGUGCGGACCCAUGCGCAGGGCGAGGGCGAUGCCGGGCGUGGCGCCGCCGCGGAGGGGGACGCGGCCUUCUCGUGGGCACCCGUCAUACUCCCGUAAGCUAUCUGUCAGCCACCUCUCGAAUUUUAGCAUUUGGAGAUUAUCUGGAGUGCGGGGUAGGUGUUGAAAUCAGAAAGGAUGCAUUUAUGGUCUGAUUCGACCUUGCACACGUUCUGAUUGAAGCAACCGAUUAAACUGUGAUCCUUCACUGCAUAGACAGUUUAAACUGUGAUGCUUCAACAUGGAGCAGUCAUAGAAUGUAUGAUGAUGCAGAGUAAUCUAGGAUCUGUUUAAUAUUUCUGUACAGACUGAUGCUUGCCAUAGCAAUGCUUCUUGGUGUAGAGUUUCGAGAAUAAACAAAUAAAAUGGGGUAAUCAGGAAGCCUAUCCAGAUUGCAGCCUUGCAGUACUGAUAGAUCACUGUUCGGAACCUAGGUUCUUGUUCCCUGCAUUGGGCGGUCUCCUUUUCGGCUAUGACAUUGGCGCAACCUCUGGAGCAACAAUCUCUGUACAAGUUAGUCCCCGUUUUGGUUUUUUCUGGAAUUUCCUCUAGCUGACAUACAGUCUCACUGCCACUGGGUGUAUUCUUCUUCAGUCUGCUGAUCUCAGUGGCACCACUUGGUUCAACCUGUCAUCUGUGCAACUAGGCCUUGUGGUAAUCCAAAUUUCUGUGAUUCCUAAGCUUUUGUAUCUCCCUUUUCAUAUCAAUUAUCAAGAUCCAAAUGAGUUUCCUUUUCCUUUUAUUCAGGCAAGUGGUUCACUUUAUGGAGCUCUUGGUGGCUCUAUUCUCGCAUACCGCAUUGCAGAUUUUCUAGGUGAACUGAAAAGCUAAACCAAUUUAAUUGUCCUUACCAUACUUGUUUGAUAAGGGGGUGAAUAACUUCUACCAUCUUGAUACAGGAAGGAGAAUAGAGUUGGUCACCGCAGCUGCAUUAUAUAUUCUUGGUGCUUUGGUCACUGGAUUUGCCCCUAAUUUUGUAGGUCUAAUCAUAGGCCGUAUCCUUUAUGGGAUUGGUAUUGGUUUGGUGAGUACCUGCAGGCACAAAUCUUCUUCCUCCCUAAGAUGAUCCCAGGUUACUGUUAUUAAAAAAAAUCUAAUUUACGAAUGCGUAUAAAAGUGAUUUUCUGGGGAUGAUAAGUACAUUCACUCAAGCUGAGUAACCUGACAAAAUUGUUAUAAACUUAUAAUGUCAUGAUGCCUCAUUAUAGUUUUCUGAUAUGCUAAUCAUUUACUGAAGUGUGAAGUAGCAAAACUAAUUGAUGUCACUGUAGCUUGAUGGUCAUGUUCUGAUAUAACUAAUUAUGGAAUAAGUAGAUAUAAAACAUUCCUGCACUUGAUUAUUCUGAUUCCUAUGAUGGGGUAGAACAUAUUCACUGGUACACCGCAAAAUCAAGCUGGUUGUAUUGCUAAGAUAUUUAAUAUAAUUUUCUUCUUUAAUUUCUGGGGUGGUUACAUUGCGUGUAGCACUUUACCCUAGCCUUUUUGACACCAACUUUCAACAUCCAUAAGCAUCAAAAUUUCCAUGGUUCCAUGCUUUCUUAAAAUGGGAUUCGUAGCAAUUGAAGAGAAUUACAGUUGCAAAGGAGCAUAUGAAUAUUUAGCUAGGGGUUUGGGAGAGUUUAUAGACCAAUGCUGUCCUAAAACAUUUGGUGUUAUGCCACUGAACCAUUAUGGUGCUAUGUGCCAGGCAAUGCAUGGUGCCCCACUUUAUAUUGCAGAGACUUCUCCUCCGCAAAUACGUGGAACAUUGAUAUCUUUGAAGGAGCUGUUUAUUGUGUUAGGAAUACUGGUAAUUAUCUAGUCUUCUGUAUAUUAUACUUUAAUAUACCCAUUUCAUGCCUGCUGACCAUUAAAUAUCUUGCGCAGUUCGGAUAUCUUGUAGGAAGUCUUGAAAUUGACAAUGUAGGAGGAUGGCGGUACAUGUUUGGUUUUGGCGCUCCGCUUGCAGCUAUCAUGGCUAUUGGUAUGUGGACUUUACCACCUUCACCAAAAUGGUUACUUCUCAGGGCAGUUCAAGGAAAGGGGUCUAUGGAGGAUAAUAAAAAGAAGGCAAUUCAAGCCCUUAGAACGUUGAGGGGCCGCUCAACAAGUGAAAAGGUUUUAGCAGAUGAUGUUGAAGAUACCAUUGUCUCUAUUAAGGCAGCCUAUGCAGGACAGGAAGGUGAAGGGAAUAUUUGGGAGGUAUUUGAAGGAGCUAGCUUGAAGGCCUUCACCAUUGGAGGAGGUCUUGUUCUGUUUCAGCAGGUAUUUUGUUCUCUUUAACCCAUGUAUUAGCAGGUUAUUCAAGUUAAAGUUCUGGCCAUGCUCUUAUCUUUUAUUUUUUUAAUUUUAUGCCCUUUUUUUAUCUAUUUUCAAAAUACGGAUGAAUGCUACUUCUUUUUGAGUGGUAGCGUAGACAUGCUGGAUUUUUGUUAUAAAGCUAAACUCUUACUUGACAGAUAACAGGCCAGCCAAGUGUUCUAUAUUAUGCAGCUUCGAUACUUCAGGUACCAAUAUUUUGCUUGGAAUUGUUUGGUGGUAUAGUUUUUAUAUAGAAAAUGUAGAAGUAGGAUACUGUUAUCUGCCCUAUACAUUUCUUGAAUUCAUACAACUCAACGUCUCCAUCUCUAAAGUAUGCCUUAUGUAGACUGCUGGGUUCUCAGCUGCAUCAGAUGCUGCCAGAGUGGCAAUUUUGAUUGGGUUGUUCAAGGUAAUGCAGAAGAUCUACUUCAAUACUUGUAUAUUAGCUGUUUCUGAAUCAUUCUGUGUAGGUAAAAAUGUAAGGAUCUUAUGCUUUCUAUUAGUUUUGAGUUUGUGUAACAAUUCUAUUCUUCGCAGUUGCUAAUGACAGGUGUUGCGGUACUGAAAGUUGAUGAUCUUGGAAGGCGCCCAUUAUUGAUAGGAGGUGUUGGUGGAAUUGUGAGUAUUUGUUCCUUCCUGUUAUUUGAUUAAGUUCUACAUAUUACAUGGAAAGCCCCAUACACACACUUGAAUUCAGUUUGGCAAUUCCACUAAACAUGAACACUGACAAUACUAAUAUUUUAGGUAAUGUAUUAGACUACAACUCUACAUUAGAAUAAGAUAAUUGGUAAACGUAGUAACUUUGUGCAUGUUCUGUCAGGUUUGCAUUCCUAUGUUCUAACUAAAUUGCCUUAUGUUAUCUGUAACCUGUAAAUGCAGGCUCUGUCACUCUUCCUUCUUGCAGCUUACUACAAGAUCCUGAACAACUCCCCCUUUGUUGCUGUUGGCGCUUUACUUCUUUAUGUUGGUGCUUACCAGGUUGGUGCGUUAUUCUGCACGGGGAGCCUGACAAGCACAGCAAUAUUUUUUUCAGGAAUCCACAAAAAGCUUAUACAUCCAUGUGUUUCAGGUCUCAUUUGGUCCAAUUAGUUGGCUAAUGGUGUCUGAGAUAUUUCCACUGCGAACAAGAGGGCGUGGGAUCAGCCUUGCGGUACUAACAAAUUUCGGCUCAAAUGCGUUGGUGACAUUCGCGUUUUCACCCUUGCAGGUAUUGCUUCUCAAGUUCUCAUAUUGCUACCUCCUGGCUCCUGACGUGCAAUUUCAUGAUGUUUAGUUUCUGCAAGUGGAGUCCCCAAAUUACAUGAACAACUAAACGUGUCAAUACCUAGUAGUUGCGACCAAUGAAUCCUUUCUCAAUAAAUACUCAUUUUUAUCCUUGUCAUAGAAAAACUGCUGUUCCCUGUUCUAUGGUCCAAAUUCAGCAUCUUAUCAGGUCCAAACUCCAGACUAGUGUUUAUUUUUGUGUGUGUAUUUCAAAACUCCACCCUCUGCCAACUGAUCUCCAACGCUGGGGUUACCGGACUAGUGUAUUUUGGCUAUCUAUUCGAAUACUGAUAUAGCCUUUUUCAUUUUGCACAAAUACGGGAACAAACAAUACGUGCAGUUCUGCCAACAAUUUAUAUUUCUCUUUUCACCACAGGAAUUCCUUGGGCCAGAGAAUAUAUUUUUCCUGUUUGGGGCCAUAGCAGUGCUCUCCCUUGUGUUUGUGAUCCUCAAUGUUCCCGAGACAAAAGGACUGAGCUUGGAGGAGAUUGAAUCUAAGAUCCUGAAGUAAAAUGGCGUGGUCAAGGCUCCACAAACCCCGGUUGUUGGCCAGAAAGAUUAAUGCCGUUUACAACAUGGAUGCUCACUCGUAGGAUCAGAGUGCGUCAGUCUCAGACUUAGUAGCGCAGUUCACGUCUAGAUGUAAAGUUUUUCCUUCUUGUAAUUAAUAUUUCUGGAUAUGCAUUUGUAGCUACCAAGUCAUAACCACGUCCCAAUUGUCCAUUGCAUCUCAUCCCAUAGCAGCAGUAAGUAAUCGACUAAUCGUCGUGUUCUUGUGACUAUGCUGUAUGUGCUGGUGAGCUGCCGCAAUGAGGACGUCCCCAGUUACCCCCACUGUUUAGUUUUUGUUUUCUGGAACUAUUUUACCCCUACUGUCUGCUGGUGUGAAACUAUGCUGCAGAAAUUUGUUUGUACUUGCUCACUGAUGCUUACCUGUUUAGGUAAGCUAUUUUUCUCUGUUUUAUUUCCCGAAAAAAAAGGAAUGCCGAUGGGGGAACGGCGGAUGUCUUGGGAAGUAGUUUGGCGAUGGAGAAAAGCCAGCAUUACUGUCACUACUGCUCACAGAUGGAUGCAUCUGCAACUAGACUUUGUUUAGCAUCAGGACUGGAGUGUCACCGAACCAAACAGACAUCACAAUCAAGGAGCUCAUGAACAGAAAUGUAAAUCUGACCGACACAUUUAAUACUUGCUUAUCCAGCAUUUGAUUACUACUUAUCCUAACGCAUCUGGCCCAUAUUGCGCGUCCUGGUGGGGUUUGGAAUCGUGCAUUAUAUACUCUUGAUUCAGGAAUAAGCACACCACGGCAACUACUCCGUAUUCAGAUUUUUUUAUAACAAAAUGCAUUAGGAAAUUGAUCCGGUAUCCAGUGUGCUAUUUUUCGUAGAAUUUUCAAGAUAUUGAGGUACGCAACGGAAAUAUGAAAACACAUGAAAAAUGACAUGUCCUGUCGUGUCAUCGUGUGUGGUCACUGAGCUGAGCUUUCAUGCGUCUCCAUAUAGCUGACUAAGCUGAGCAGUUAGGUUCUUGCUUAUCAAACACGUAAGAAUGCAAACACUAACUAUAAAGUUAUAUAUUGUUCCAGGCAGGACUGCGAGAAAGGGAGAUUCUUCAUCCAGUUCGGUUGCGAUUCAGAAGUGCGAGUAGUACAUGAUCAACAAGGAGGGAGGGAACACGUCGUGCCGACUUGAUUGCCUCCAUCGUGGUGGCGGCAGCAGCAGCAACCCGACCGACGAGUCAGUCGCCGAGUAUGAAGUGGGAGCGAGACCGACGACGAUGUGAACCUCCCGCCCAGACCACGACAAGCGGGGGAUCCCGGCGACCUCGUCUAGUCUGGGCGUGGCGGCCGGAGGCCAUGGUCAUGCCCUGGCUGUUGCAGCCUGGCCAUGGUCCAGUUGCCAAAGUCUCCCAGGUCCCAGCGCUAUUCUUUCGGUGCUACACGACGUGCACGUUCCCUCGUGACGUGACGUGGACUUGCACACCAACAAAAGUCUCGGGCUCCGCCGUGCCGGGACGACCCUCCCUCUUGCGCGCGCACACGCGCUCCACGUGCAGGCUCCACGGCUUUCUAAUCUUACCAGCCAUGCUCCACCACCAAACAAUUAAUCCUAGUCUAGAUUCCAAAAGCAAACACCCAGUGCCAUGCACCACAGUUGCACAGGUGAUAAAAAGCACUAUGACUUGUCAAGCAAACUCGUGUUACCAGGCUAGCAGCUACCGUUCCAAUCCACCCGUCGCGCGUCAAGACUACUCGUCCUUUUCAUCAAACAGCAAUGCGACGGACGGUGCGAGUGUGACAACACUCUUAGUAUGACUGACGAUUAAGGAUGGCUUGCUUAUUACUCCCUUCACGUCGUUUUGAUUUUUUUAAUUCAUAGAUAUUAUCACUACUAGGAAAAACAGCUCUAGUAUCGGUUGAGAACCCUCCUCUAGUAUCGGUUUCGCAAUCGGUACUGGCAAUUCGGUACUAGAGGGGUAGAGGGGGAUCGUUUAGUACCGGUUGAAAUAACCGGUACUAAAGGGUAUUAAAAAAAUUAAAAAAACAAAAAUCCCCCUCCCCCGCCGCCUGCCCCUCCACCCGAAGCCGCUCAACCGGCCACUCCCCGCCGCCCCGAUGGCCGCCGCCACCGUGCCUCGCCCCACCGCCACUCCUCACCUCAGGCACGAGGUGAAGGGUGAGUGGAGGGGGAGGAGAGGGGAGGCCGGGGAGGGAGGGAGGGGGCUGGUAGCCUGGAGAGGGAGAGGGAGCGGAUGGAGAGAGGAUAUGAGGAUGAGGGAGGUGGAGCGGAGGGAGCUGAGGAUAAGGACGACCACUAAGGGGGCCAGUGCUUGGCGCGCGGACGGAAAACACUUCAGUACCGGGUGGAGCCCCCACCUGGUACUGAAAGGGGGUCACGGAAGGCUCCUCGGGGACUAUCCAUUAGGUUCGGUACUAAACAUUAGUAUCGGGCUAAAAAGUGACCGGUACUAAGCCUUAGGAUGAGAGGUCAUUUUUCUAGUAGUGUAUUAUGUACCUAAACACAUACUAACCUAAAAAUGAUCUACAAUUUGGAACAGAAGGAGUAGUAUUCAGCUAGCAUUGACUAAGCAAGCAAGUUCAAUUCUUUGCUGGGACGAUGGUGUCCUAAUUUUAUUUCGAUUGGUGACGAGGUGAGUUGCCUGAUGUAUCUGGCCCAUAUGGCGUCCUGGUGGGGGGAACGGGAUCGUGCAUCGUGCCAGCCGGGAAUUAAUAGAAGAGGUCACAAACUCACAAUGAUCCCAACCAGGCGUUGGGUUAAUUAGUGGUUCUAUAGGGACUUUGGAAUCCAAAAAAUACUCCUUUUAGAAAGACAAGCAAGGAAUCAAGCGCCGCGCACCUGACCGGGAAUACGGACAGAAUUCUGCCAUUCAGCACUAGUGCUAAUCAAGCGAAGAUUUCUAACGGUGAAAUCUGACUAUCAGUGACGCUGGUGCUCCCAUUUUUCUAAAUUUAUUUUGGAAUUUAACCGUCGCUAUUCUUUCAGUGGUAGACGGCAUGCCUGUUGACAGCGAGACGAUAGUGGUGCCUUAAUUUUUCGAAGGUGCUUAUAGGAGUAAGGUUGCGUGCGUGUAUUCGUAAUGGUGAGUCUGCAUACAUGUACGUGAGUGUCUGCAUGUGAUUUGAGAAAAAAUAGUAGUGUUAAUCAACAAGGUAAUUAACCCGUCGUGCUGACUUGAAUGCGUCGGCAGCUGCCGGUUGAACCUGGCUCGCCGAGUGACUGAGAGUGAGACUGCCAACCUGCCCAACGAACGAGGGACAGACACUCCCCUCUCCCUUACUUCGUUGUCAAGACGUGUGUUUGGUUGCUUGUAUUAUUUGGUUCGUAUAUGGAAUAGUUUAAAAUAAUAAUAAUUUUUUUAUUUGGUUGGGUGAAUUGUACCGACCUAUCUAGGAUGAAGUCAUCCCACUCAAUACAUUAUUCUAUAAAUAAUUAUGAACUAUAUGGUACAAGUAAAUUGAUUGAACCUACGAUCAAAUAUCAUCCAUAUAUGCAUUGCAGUCCUCGGUCCCGGAGUACGCCUGCGACCCGCGAACACACCGUCCGUCACGCCUGUUCAAUCAGCUGUUCACAGUUGCUGCUGCCCAUGGGCCUCACGUGCUUCGAUCUAGAUGCCUAGUGCCCACUUUGAGCAUCUUCCCCAUGAUAGUCUUCUUCUGACCAUCUUUCUUGAACGCAUACAUCACUUGAGCACCGUAAUCCUGUGCUCCAUCUGCGAAGGCCCAUCUAUAUGCAUGUCACCUAGGUGUUAGGGCUUCAAAGAACUGAACUUUGAGAUCGCUUUUGGUGGCUAGGAGCAACUUCACACGCUGACAUCAUGCAUUUCUUUUUGAACUAAAUUAAGGGCCUGUUUCAGCUUAGCUUCUCGGGUCUACUUUGGAAAGCUGAAACAAACAGUCCAGCUGUUGAAAUUGCUUUUGGAAAGCUAGCUUCUGAGGAAAUGAACUGAAAGCUGGAAAGCUAACUGAGAGGAGCUUUUCCUAACUUUUGGUGUGUUGAGAAGAUAAAAAUUUAUUACAAAAGUCAAUAGCAAAAGAUCAGCAAUCAAAAAGUCAAUUUUCACAUAGCUAGCUUUCCAGCCAAAAACUCAGGACGUUCGGCGGGCCUGUCCUCAUUGUUGUUUUUUCUUUUUUGGGAUAAUACGCUUGGUAGCAAUCUUUCUAACUAAAUCUAAGGACACACAGGAUAUGACAUGGACGAUAGGAGAUGAUUAUGAGAAGAAUGUUGUUGGUGCACUACACGGGCAACCACAAUGUGGUAGAAAAGUAGUCCAUAUGUACUUUUAUUUUCCAUUCAGCCACCUAGUAACAUUGUGCAAGUAAUCCAUAUGUAGGAGUACAAAUUAAUUUUCGGUUAUCUAUAGGAAAUGGUAGUGUUAAUGGCAACAACAUGUUUUGGAAGUGGAUAUAUAACACACAAAUUCCGUACCUUUUUGUGUGUUCGAGAGGAUCCGUGUCCCAACUAGUUUAGUCUUGUUUGGCGAUGACACAUGCACCUACAUCCAGGACCUUAGGGUUAGGAUUAGUGGGUUUUCAAUGUUAGAACUUGGGUUUUACCAUUCUCCGAAAACAGAUGCAAGGGAAGAAGGCAAUCUUGGCAGUGGAAUCAACGGUGCAUUGACAUUAGGGCGGAAUGUAGUGAAGCAGCGGCAUGAAGAAGGUAGCUAAGUAUAAUGGUAUUACAAGGGUGAUGGGAGACGACGAUGAGCAGAAUGUUGCGGCUUGCCGAAGCAUAACCUACUAUUGUGGUUGGAGCACCGACAAGUAUGGGCAACCGUACAGCCGUAGAGGAGAGGGGAGGGUGAGCCGAUCAGGGAUGUUAGGUAAUUUUCUCUUAAUGAAAUACGUGCUAGUGAAAAAAAGGACGUUAGGCAAACAGAUGGGAGCAAUGGAAGAAGGAAACGACGUCAAUGUUUGAUCACCUAAAAAUCGUGUGUUUUCAGCAUUAGAAUCACUAUGAGUGAGAAGUAGACAGGUAAAAACCUCAAGUACCAUGCCACUACUUGCACCAGUCGCAGUAUAGUGUCCAAUAAACCCACAAAUGCAGCGUCAAGACCUGUCGUUCCUACCUCUCCGAUCCUAUGAAGCGAGCAGCCAGCCAGCGCCGUUCCCUCUGAUGCCGUCCACUUCCACGUCCCUCCCGUGCUGCCGUGCACGACAAACCCAGGCGCUCGUGCCGGUGUAGCCAUAGCCCCGAUGACUUUGACGACGCGCUGGGAUUGUUGCGGCCGGAAGCUAUAAGCCGAGCACGCCGGCCGAUCGCUGAGAGAUCAACGUGUCUUGUUCCAGCUCCACCAUGGCGUCUGUUCUUGCCGCGGUGGUGCCCGUCCUGCUCGCUCUUCUGGCUCGAAGCGGAUCACCGGCCGCAGCCGGCGCCGCCACCGAGUUCGUUCUCGCCGGCUUCGCGGGUGCGAACUUGACGGCCAGCGGCGCGGCCGUGGUCACCUCCUCCGGCCUCCUUCGGCUCACCAACGAGACCAACGAGGCGUUCGGGCACGGCUUCCACCCCGCACCGCUGCGGUUCAAGGACGCCUCCACGGGCGCGCCGGUCUCCUUCUCCACCACGUUCGUGGUCGCCAUCCUGCCGCGCUACCCGGACGCGCACGGCCACGGGCUCGCUUUCGCGCUGGCGCCGUCGGCGACCGUGUCGGGAGCCGUGGCGGGGAAGAACCUCGGGCUUUUUAACACGUCGAACCACCUCGGGAAUGGGCAGAGCGAGGUCGUCGCUGUCGAGCUCGACACGGCGAUGGACGAGGAGUUCGCCGACAUCAACGACAACCACGUCGGCGUCGACGUCAACAGCCUAAAGUCCAAUUGCUCGAAGCCAGCGGGCUACGUCGCCGACGCCGGCACCGUCAAGCUCAACGUCAGCUUGGUCUGCGGGGACCCCCUGCAGGUGUGGAUCGAGUACGACGGCGCGAGCACGCGCCUCGAGGUGACCGUGUCACCGGCCGGCGUGCCCAGGCCGGCCGUCCCGCUUGUGUCUUGCGCCGUCAACCUCUCGUCGGUGGUGGCCGACGGCACGUACGUCGGGUUCUCGGCCGCGAACGGCGCUGCCUCGAGCUCGCACUACGUUCUCGGCUGGAGCUUUCGCCUCGGCGGCGGCCGCGCGCCGGACCUCGACCUGUCAAAGCUCCCGCGGGUCCCGUCGUCUAGGCCCAAGAAGACCAUGCAUCCGCAACUGGUCCUGGCGCUGAUCCUGCUUGCCGUCGUGGCGCUCCUCGUGGUGUCAGCGGGCGUCACGCUGUUCGUCGUCUGGCGCCGGCGGUUCACCGAGGUGGAGGAAGAUUGGGAGUUGGAGUACGGACCUCACCGGAUCAGCUACAAAGACCUGCACGCGGCGACCAGAGGCUUCCGCGACGUCAUCGGCGCCGGCGGCUUCGGCCGCGUGUACCAUGGCGUGCUCCGGCGGUCGGGCACGGAGGUCGCCGUCAAGAAGGUGGCCCAUGACUCGCGGCAGGGCUUGCGCGAGUUCGUCUCGGAGAUCGCGAGCAUGAGCCGGCUGCGCCACCGCAACCUGGUCCAGCUCCUCGGCUACUGCCGGCGACGGGGAGAGCUCAUACUCGUCUACGACUACAUGGUCAACGGCAGCCUCGACAAGCACCUAUUCGACGCUGAAAACAGGCCGGCGCUGAGCUGGGAGCGGCGCGCCAAGAUCAUCCGCGACGUUGCCGCCGGGUUGCUGUACCUGCACGAGGAGUGGGAGCAGGUGGUGGUGCACCGCGACAUCAAGGCCAGCAACGUCCUCCUCGACACCGACAUGAACGGCAAGCUCAGCGACUUCGGCCUGGCGCGGCUCUACGACCACGGCAGCGAUUCGCAGACGACGCACGUCAUCGGGACGCUCGGGUACCUCGCGCCGGAGAUGAUCAAGACCGGCAAGGCCACCCCGAGCGCCGACGUGUUCGCGUUCGGCGCCUUCCUGCUCGAGGUGGCCUGCGGCCGGAGGCCCGUGGAGUCACUCAGCAACAACAAUGCGGACCCGGCGGGGCUCGUCGACAACGUCCUCGAGUGCUGGAAGACCGGGAGGAUCAGAGACGCCAGGGACCCGAGGAUCGGCAAGUGCGACGAGGACGACCUCGAGCUGGUGCUCAAGCUCGGGUUGCUAUGCUCGCACCCUGAUCCCCGGUGCCGGCCGAGCAUGAGGCAGGUGGUGCAGGUACUGGAAGGCGCCGCGCCGGUGCCGGAGACGCCGCCGGAAGAUCUAGGCAGCAGCGGCAGGACCUUCGGGUACUACGAGACGUUCGAUGAGUUCCUCAACAUGUUCCCGACGACGAUCGAGGUGGCGACCGUCACGCCGCGCCUUGGUCGCACUCCAGCGCCGAACACCAGCACCUGAUCUCCGGCGGAGUUCUGGCUCUGCCAUCAGCUCUCGUCAAUAAAUUACAAAAUUCUCUUGUAACUAAAUUCAAAUUUCUCUUACCACUAAAUUGCUACAAAAUCGCUGUGAUGUGCUUAGGAUGGUUCAAAUUGGAAAGCAAACAGUUACAAGAUUAGGUGUUGUAAUAAUCUUGUCUAAAGAAGUGAACAUAGGUUGUCAGACAGUUUUAGGAUGAUCAAAGAGUGGUUUUGCUUUCAUAAGUCCUAACACCUAAUUAACCUAAUCGUUGAGGUUUUGUACGUGUAAUUUUUUUUCUGCAAGUGAGUAAUCGUUGAAGUUUUGUAUGUGUAAUCUUUUUUGUAAGUGACCAUAUGAGAUACUAUAAUCUCCGAAAUGUUUUUCUACAUAUUCAUCAUUUUAGAUUUAUAUAUUUUUGAGAUAACUCAUCUUGUAAGUGAUAAGAACUAAAGAUCAUGUUACCACUCAACCAUCAAAAUCACAAAUAAUAAUCUUUUUUUUCCUUAUAUCCUCCCUUCGUUGACCGCAACAUUGACCUACGCAUCAUAGAACAAGCAAACCGGUUCAUGCAACCCAAAAUCCCCACAUUUAAAACUCUGUACCUGUAAUGCAGUGUGCCGUUGCAUCCUCCUCAGUCCCACACGACACGAGCAAGGCAUCAGCCAUCACUCCCGUUUGUCACAAACACAGCCAAAUCCGAUCGAUGUGAACGGCAUCGACCGUUCACCCAGCUAUUCUCUGUCGUUCAUACCUGGUCGCUCGGUUCCCCAGCGAAAUAACAUAGGCAGACCCCCCGCACAUAGCUCUGGCCCAGAGAAUGACUUGAGAUCCUGGCAUCUCUCGAGCGAGCAACUCAGACAUUCGAGUGAUUGACCAUCGAGCCAACACGUGGGGUGGUGCCGACCUGAACGCAUCCAUCAUCGAGUGCCUCUGCCUGCCCAACGCCAACGAACGCCGGCCCGGACCUCGCUCGACCUCGUCGUCAACAAGGCCGGCCGGUCCCGGAGUACGGCGGCCAUACAUCCGGCCUGUGGAAUGCUAAUAACAUGGGAUGGACCUGGCUGGAGAUAUCCAGCAAUGACCACACGGUGUGCAUCGUCCCAAGCUGCAGAGUCAGUCAGUCGUCGUCUUCUAUCACAGCAAACGCAGUACAGUAUUUAAGUAGUGACAGCUACCUGUUCUUGGGUCCCUCUCUGAAUGUUGUACAUGUAUCCGCUGAAUCUGCAUGCAAAUACAGACGGCAGAAGUAGGGACUGAUGACUUGAGGUCUAGACGUCUAAUUAAGCUGAUGUCGACCUCUGGGUACGUAUGCUAUUUACCAAUUUACCACCAUGUUGUUGAUCAAGAUCAGAUAACCACGGUGCUUGUUGCCAGCCUAGAAGGUGCGGUGUGAUGGACAGAGACGGCGGUCACUGCUUGCGAGUGUGGUGCAUGCUUUUGCAUUGCCUGGCCGUUCGUCUGCAAUCGAUAUGAUGUUGUUCAGCUGCCGCGUAAGCUAGGCAAGUCGAUCCACAACUUGGCCGGCAAUUUGCAGUUUCCUUGGCUACGUUAUGCCUCUGGUUAGUACAGUACUAGCUCCAAACUCCCAACUGAAUGCAUGCGAAUGCAAACCACACAGAAGUCUCGAGCUGAAGGGGCCAUUAGCUGGGUAUGUGACAGGGAAUGCGAAUUUGACUUUUGGAAUGCAUGUCGUCGUUUUCCACUGUGAGAAUGACACCUCUACUUGUGUCAAAUUCAGCAAAAACCUAAAGAAUGAUUUGCAAAUUUUAGAUCAAAAAUUUUUACGUCAUAUAUGAAUUGGAGUUUUGCAAAUUCAAAGGUAUCUUAAAGUGAGACACUACACGGCAAAAGCAAUGUGGUGCAGUGCUCCAUAUGAAUAUGCAACACACAUAUAUAUCCUCACUGACAUUUUGCGGAGCUGAAUUUCCAGCAUCUAAAACAAAACAAAAAGGAAUGGGAAAUCUAUAUGUGACUUGAGUAUUCCCUUCAAUAAUUUCUUUUCCGAUUUCAGCUACAUGCACAUAUGACAUCCCUGCUUCAUGUCCGGCAAGAUCAGGGUUCCAGAUUUGGGGAAUUGGAGGCUGCAUUAGAGGAUUUAGAGGGGAGGGAUGUGAAUGAAGGUUAGCCUAGCAGUGGAGGGCCACGGUGGCCACAACGGUGAAGUAGCAUGUGACGGAGGAUGGGCACUGCUGGGGAUCGCCAAAGAACUAAACACCCUCGAGCGCCAUUCGUGGGCAUAGUUUUCCAAAUGGGCCGCCCGGCCCUAGCCCGGCACUAACCCAUCCUGGCCCAGCACUAAUAGGCCCGAAGGGUUUUCGUGCCGGGCUGGGCUGGCACUGCGUGCCGAGGAGGCAGCCCAGGCCCGGCCCGACGACCUUUUUAUCGGGCUGGGCCAGCCCACAACACGACGGGCCAUGCCGUGCUAGUGCCCGGCCCGGCACUAGCAGCAGCGGCCGGCUCCAGUUGCCCUCGGAGGGCGGCGACGGUCGGCGGCCGGCCCCCCGCGUCGGCCCCUGGCGGCGGCGGCGGCGGCGGCUGGCCCCCCGCGUCGACCUCGGGCAGCUGCGGCGGCCGGCCCCCCGCGGCAGCCUCGGGCGACGGCGGCUGGCCCCUUGCGGUGGGCAUGGCGACCACCGUCGCCAAGCAAGCAGGAAGGUGGGACUGUGGGAGGACCCUGGGAGGCGGACGGGUGGAUGGUCAAAUGGGGGGAAAUUGAAAGUAUAAGUAGGGUUCUGCAUUUAUAUGGUAGUUAGAUCGGGCCACAUCGGGCCGGUCCAAAAAUCAUGCCAGGCUCAUGCUGGCCCAGCGUGCCGGGGAGGCGGCCCAGGCCCGGCACUAUCAUCGUGCCGGGCCAGCCCUGGCACUAUUCACUUCGUGCCGGGCCCGUGCUCGUGCCGUGCUUUUUAGUGUUGGGCCUCGAGCCACCCAACGGGCCUGGCCCAUUUGGAAAUCUUUGUUCGUGGGUAAAAACUCUCUAACCUCGCAAGUUCUUGGUCAAGGAAUAAAACUUGGUUAACCUCGCAAGUUCUUAUGGAAACUAUUCUGGUAGUAAAACUCAUACCCUCGCAUCUUCUUUGUUACUGGAGGGACUCGAAGCUGGCAACUGGUAACUAAUAACUAAACUCCAACUGAGCUAACCCUCGAGUGUUCGGAAUCAGUCCUGAACACCGAGCUUUCAUCUUUUUUACUCUUUACUCAGGAACGGAACCUGAAGGGAGAUUCCGUGAGGUUACAAGAUUCUCAGAGCAACACAACGAACCAGGCGUCACGAGGUUGGACAACUAUCUCAAGCCAAGGGUGGAGACACGAGGCUGGAAGAUCGAUCUGGUGAAGGUGAAGUCCCGAGGUUGGAAGGACGGAGGCGUGAGAAACGUGACCAUAUUGAGGAAUUCAAUUUAUACACGUUACCCCAUGACCUUUAUGUAUGGCAUAUCCUAGAAAUGUAGUGGUUGAGGAAGGACAUUUCGAAAUGUAAAGUGGCUCAUGUGUCACUAUAAUAGGGGAGCUCUACUCCAUUGUAAAGGAAAAUCGAUUGUUUUUUAGAACUUCCAAGUGUUAUCUCUUUUUAUUCACGAAUUUGUUUGGUAUCGAAUUUUUCACGAAUUUGUUUGGUAUCGAAUUUUCUUUGAGACCAACAGGCAAUGAGGAGGUUAGGGUGGGCGCAACUCAUUUCAAUGGUGUAUGGUAGCAUAGUGAUGACAGAUCGAUCCGGUGGUGGGAUCCACCUGAAAUGAGAGAAGAAGGGCGGUAAGGGGCACCACUCAACGCAAGAGGAAGCUCCUCGGUGAGCACAUCGGGAGGAAGAAGGAACUACAAGAAGAAGCCCAAGGAAGAAGAUCUAGUAACUGUUGGAUUUCAAUCCAUGAACAUUCAGAUGUAUGGAAAAGAAAAGAAAAGAAAAGAAAAGAAGCCCGUAAGCAGUAUAGCUGGCCUAAAAAGAGAUACCAUGCAUGGCUUCAAGGAUGGGUCCGGGAUGUGCACUGCUGGCGCAGAACCCAAACACCAAAACAAGCACACACUUGCCAAACGUCACUCUUCAACACUUGUCGUACAGUAGAUUUCUACCUCUCCCAUCCUUGUCGUGCUGUGAAGAUAUCACCCGCGAGCAGCCAAUCCGAGCGCUCCCCGCUCCCAUCCUGGCCCCUCCUCCGAUGCCGUCCACUUCCACGUCCCUCUCGCCCGGCACGGCGCCGGACCACCAGCUGAUCGAGGCAUCGGCGACGACGCGACCAACCCCUACCCGGGCACCAGUAACCGGGACAUGCCUUUAACACGCUGGGAUCCCACUUCGACAGAAAGAUGUAAGCAAAGCAAACGACGCCUCGUUUCGUUCCAUAUCAUGGAGGCGGCCAUUCUUGCCGUGCUGGUGGCCGUCCUGCUCCUCCUCGCCCGAGGCGGAUCGGCGGCGGCGGGGGCCGGCGCAGCCACCGAGUUCGUGUUCACCGCCGGCUUCGCGCGCCAGAACGUGACGACCAGCGGCGCGGCCGUGGUCACGGCCUCCGGCCUCCUGCAGCUCACCAACGAGACGAACGAGGUGUUCGGGCACGGCUUCUACUCGGCGCCGCUGCGCUUCAAGGACGCCUCCACGGGCGCGCCGCUCUCCUUCUCCACCACCUUCGUGUUCGCCAUCGUGCCGCGGUACCCGGACGCGCACGGCCACGGGAUCGCCUUCGCGCUCGCGCCGUCGCCGGCCGUGGCGGGAGCCGUGGCGGGGAAGAACCUCGGCCUGUUCAACACGUCGGAUAACACGGGGCAGGGGAGGAGCGGGAUCGUCGCCGUCGAGCUCGACACGGCGCGGGACGAUGAGUUCAGGGACAUCGACAAGAACCACGUCGGCAUCGACGUCAACAGCUUGGAGUCCGUGAACUCAACGCCGGCGGCGUACGUCGAUGUCGGCACCGGCAGGCUCGUCAACUUCAGCCUGGUCAGCGGAAACCUCCAGCAGGUGUGGGUCGAGUACGACGGCGCGAGCAUGCGCAUGGAGGUGACGGUGUCGCCGGCCGGCAUGCCCAGGCCGGCUGUCCCGCUCGUGUCGUACACCGUCAACCUCUCGUCGGCCGUGGCCGACGACACUUACGUCGGGUUCUCGGGAGCGAACGGUGCGGCCUCAAGCUCUCACUACGUUCUUGGCUGGAGUUUCCGCCUCGGCGGCGGCCGCGCGCCGGACCUCGACCUCUCCAAACUCCCGCCGCUCCCACCUUCAAGAUCCAAGAAGAUGAUGCCGCUGCUACUGAUCCUCACACUGUUCCUAGUUGCCGUCUUGGUACUACUCCUAGUGUCGGGGGCAGUCGUGGUGCUCGUCAGAAGGCGCCGCCGGAUCGCCGAGGAGGAGGAGGACUGGGAGAUCGAGUACGGCCCUCACCGGAUCCGCUACAAGGACCUGCACGCGGCGACCAGGGGCUUCCGCGACAUCAUCGGCGCCGGCGGCUUCGGCACCGUGUACCACGGCGUGCUCCGGCGGUCGGGCGCCGAGGUCGCCGUCAAGAAGGUGGCCCACGACUCGCGGCAGGGGCUGCGCGAGUUCGUCUCGGAGAUCGCGAGCAUGAGCCGGCUGCGCCACCGCAACCUGGUGCAGCUCCUCGGCUACUGCCGGCGACGGGGCGAGCUGAUGCUCGUCUACGACUACAUGGUCAACGGCAGCCUCGACAAGCACCUGUUCGACGCCGGCAAGCCGGCGGCGCUGAGCUGGGAACGGCGCGCCAAGAUCGUCCGCGACGUCGCCGCCGGGCUGCUGUACCUGCACGAGGGGUGGGAGCAGGUGGUGGUGCACCGCGACAUCAAGUCCGCCAACGUGCUCCUCGACGCCGACAUGAACGGCAGGCUCAGCGACUUCGGCCUGGCGCGGCUGUACGACCACGGCAGCAACCCGCAGACGACGCACGUCAUCGGGACGCUCGGGUACCUCGCGCCGGAGAUGAGCAAGACGGGCAAGGCCACCACGAGCACCGACGUGUUCGCGUUCGGCGCCUUCCUGCUCGAAGUGGCCUGCGGCCGGAGGCCCAUGGAGCGCAACGACGACCUCGACUCGCCGGGGCUCGUCGACCUCGUCCUCGAGCACUGGAAGGCCGGGAGGAUCAUGGACGCCAGGGACCCAAAGAUCGGCGAGGGCGACGAGGCCGAUGUCGAGCUGGUGCUCAAGCUCGGGCUGCUCUGCUCGCACCCGGACCCCCGGUGCCGGCCGAGCAUGAGGCAGGUGGUGCAGAUACUGGAAGGCGCUGCGCCGGUGCCAGAGACGCCGCCGAAGGAUCUAGAAAACAAUAACAGGUUGUUCUAUGGAUACAUCGAGUCGUUCGACGAGUUCGCCACCGUGUUCCCGACGUCCGGGACCACCACCGUCACGACACAGCCGUCUUCUUCGCACUCCAACGACGAGCAGCAGGAGGUGAUCUCCGGCUGAGUGGUGACAUCUUCUCUCUUCACCAAACCACCAAAAAGUUCAGUCAUGUGCCUACUUACGGUGGUUGGAACUUGUAAAGGAAAGCAAGUAGUCAUAGAUUUAGAGUCAAAGAGGUGUUUGAUCUUUUUCGAAGUGAACAUAGGAUAUCGUCAGCCAUUUGUAGGGAUGACAAAAACAAUAAAGUUUGAUGUAUCAAGUCCCAACUGCCGAGGCCGGCUAUACCAAUCAGGUUAAUUAUCAUUUUUGGCUGGUGCAUUUCCAGAAGAAAAGACUCUGCAAAUGACAAGUGCAUGAGAACGGGUGGUGGACCACAAUAACCUUAUAUGGAUUGUAGGUGAAACAGUGAAUCUCUUCAAAUUAACAGUUAAAUAAACCUCAAAAGAAGUAAUGAUAUGGAAACAUCAUUUUUGUGAAGAAUCAGAACCCAGGUGUCGCUUUCGCUGGGCAUCAACUUGCUUACAUGGGAAGAAGAUUGUGGCAUGUGAACCAUAAACUUUAUAAUAGAAGUAUUGAGUUUAGAACAGUGGUCAGUGGACUUGGGAAAGAUACGGGAAGGUAUCUGAAAUCUAAAAUAUCUGAACAACCGAAAUAGACAGCACGUACAAGUGACAUGAGGAAGGUCCUAAUUGGAAAAUUACGACAGGCAAUGCCAGCUUCUAUCCAUAUAACAUUAGCUUACAGGUUAGCUGACUAGUUCAUUCAUCUAUAGCCUCAGCCACAAGCAGAAUCAUCAUCAUCUUCCUGGAUGCCCUGUGCAGCACCUUGGAUCAUUUCAUCAUCAACUCCUGGAAGGAAGUUUAGAACGUCUGAUAUUUAGCUUUUGUCAUUACCUGCAGAUAAAGUCUACAAAAGGAAAUACAUGUGGAUGUACCUUCAAUGAAGGAUUCAAAUUCAUCUUCAUUUGGUUCCCUUGGUGCGAUUCGGCUGACUGAUUGAUUAAUCUCCAUCCAGUUUGGUUGCUCAACUGGGCCAGAGAACAGUGCAGGUGUAUCCACAACCCAGUCAUCAACUAUGUCUACGUAGUCCACUGAGACAGGAUCAAAUGCUUUCACCUUGCGCUGUUGUCUAUGAACAAUUAUUAAUAAGAUCGGUCAAUCAAACCAUGUUUUUUUAGCAACACAUUCAAAUUUAACUCAUAAUGGCAAGACUCUAUACAAAAAGAUGAUUCCAUUACCUUUGCUGCAGCCGUAGGUUGUAUUGUACAAAGGUGAGAUCAUGCAUUCGCUGACGCUCAAAACUAUUCAAUCUUUCAUCAUGAACUUGCUCAAAAGGAAUGUGCGCCCGAUCACAUCCUCUAGCGCUGCAGGUUUGACUAAGAAUACGGACCGCUAGACGUGUUAAAUUUGGGCAAGCUCCUCCAUAUGUAUACCACCAUUCAGCUGUAAGAUAAAAUAACAAUAGUAAAGGCAAAAUGUUAAAUAUCACUUAACAAACUUUACAUUGUGACAACAUCAUUAAAGGGAAGCACAAUUUAACUAGGUUCCAAAUAUUGAAAGAAGGCUAACAAUGUAAAGUUUGUCAGAAAAGUCUCAUUUGGUUAGAUAAAACAAAAUAACCCUACAGAUGUAACUCAAGUUUGCAUGACAAAAAAAAACAUAAUACUAGCGUGUAUUACUAGUUAACGAGAAAUUCUUAAAUACUAACCAGGAGGUAAAGUUCGUCUGGAUCGGAUAGCCAUCUGCCUACGAAAAUCCCCUGCUGUCUCACUCCGGUACAUGUUGAGCUCUCGCUGGAUUUUAUCUUGGAUUUUCACAUCAGAAACCAGCCUUUCUAUGCAAUCUAGCAUUCCUGAGAAGAUUCCAUUUGAUACAUCACCUCGAAUUCCAUCAAAAAAUAGUGGAUUCAGGAAGAAACCAGCUGAAUGAAGUGGCCGUGGUGUUUGGUUGUCCCAUCUCCAGUCGAUGAUAUUCCAAUAAGCCAUGUAGUCGUUCUUACUCACUAGCUCUUUCUUGAUUGCUGCUUUGGCCUGGUACAAUCCAGCAUAAAUGUACCCCAUAGCAGGCCUCUUUGUACUACCAACUAGCUUAAGGAGAUGCACAAGUGGCUCGGUGAUGUGAACAACAGCAGCACAAGAGGACCAAAACUGCAAACUAUUAACAAGAUUGCUUACUUCGAUCCCUCCUUUCUUUGGCAGCAAAAAGUGUAUCCAUUCAUCCGAGUUGACCAUGGCUUGCAAAGCCUCCUUCAGACCGUACAUGUUCUUCAGUGUGACAAAGUUCAUAGAAGCGCGAGUCUCUGCAGGAACUAGCAGAUCCUUCCCAUGCAGAUACUUCUUCAUUAGAUUCAAUGCAAAUGCGCUGUUGUAGAAAAAUCCUGUGAGGGCCUUUGCAUUACUUAUUAUCUCACUGAUUGCCCCUACCUUACUGAAAUCUUCAAGCAUGCCAUCGAUGCACUGGAAAGAGCAUGGAGACCAGAACAAUGUUGGAAAUGUUUCACCUAGCUUUUUUCCUGCAGCUGCAUGGAUCUCAGAGUUGUUUGUGAUUACUUGGACAACUUUUUUCUCGCCAACUUCCUCGACAACACUUUUCAGUAACUCAUACAGUGCAUCUGAAGAUGCGACAAUGCUGGUUGCAUCCACCGAUUUGAGGAACAUAGUGCCUUCUGGGCAAUACACUGAAAAGUUUAUCAAGGUUCUGCCUUUAUCAGUGAUCCACUCAUCAGCCAACACCGAGCAGCCAGUCCUUGUCCAUGACCCCUUGAAGAACUCCAACCGAGACGUCGCAUCAUCCAGUGACUUCUUAAGAAUGUGACCACGAAAGUCAUGGUAUGAGAGCGCCUCCGGCCUCCCUCCUGCCGAUGCAAUAGCCUCAAGCAUGGGCUGGAAGUAGACUGAAUUCACUGCUUCCAAUGGCACACCAACAUCAUACAAGAACCUCCCAACUGCCACAGAAACCUGCUCCUUGUCCAAACCAGCAUGUCCGAAAUGUCCUGAUGAUGGUGUAACUGCGUCGACUGCCAUCACAACCUGAUGAAGAGGAUUGGUCUGAGGAGUAGACGGAACAUGCUGCUGCAGAGUCGGGGGAGUAAGUGGUGGAGUGGAGGCGUUACUCAACAUCUUCCUCUUCUUCUUACUGCUGACACUCCCCCUCAUGGUCUCCGGAAGCGGAGGCCUCUGUUCGUCGAGCGGCACGGGUUCGAAGUCCAGCACCUCGUUGAGCGGGAUCAUGUGGAUGGGGCUGUCGGUGGCCCCACCGCUCGCGGCGGAGGCGGGCGACGCGUCGGUGGGGGCGAAUCGCCUCAUGUCGCCGGGCGGGAGUGCGUUGGCUAGCUUGCGCUGCAUCUUCUUGGCGGCGACAGCGUCGAGGCUGCGCAUCAUGGUGUCCUGGACGUCGCGGGGCACCUUGGGGCAGCAGCAGGCGUUCCCGGGGCGGCGGGCCAGGUGCUCCUUGAAGCGGUGGAUGCCGCCGCCGAGGAAGUGCUUGCCGCAGUAGGCGCACUUGAGGCGCACCCGGCCCUCGGCGCGCACCAUGAGGCAGUGCUUCCACGCCGGGUCGUGCUUCUGCGCGCCGAUCUGCACCACCUCCUCCUCCUCCGCCCCCGCCCCGGCCGCCGCCGCGGCGUCAUCCCCCUCCUGCCUCUCCAUCCGGGCGCGAGCACUGCAUCAGCCAUCACCACCGGGCGUCACGAACGGCGCAAUUGGAUUCGAACGCAAUUCAUCGAGAGUCCUGCUGCUAAUCCCCCAAUUAGCCGAUGGCGCGCGCGCGAAAUGAACCUGUGCGGCCCCGCGCGCGCGAACCGAGCGAACCAGGAGAACCUGAAAGGAGUGGGGGAAAGGGUGGGAGGAGCGGGAUCGAGAGAGAAGAGAGAACUCACCCGGGUUUUUGGGAGGCGAAACGGCCGGGCUCCCCCAAAUCGGCGUCCGCCGGGGCGGGGAGGAAGAAAACCAGUGAGGUGGAGGUGAUUGGGGAUGGUGAGCGACGGGCGAGACGUGGGUGAGGAGCGAGCCGGCCGGGUGGGGUUGGUUGGUUGACCUGGCCGAGAGGGAGGGGGAGAGGGAUCGGGCACCGGCCCAGCCGGUUCUCGCGUGGGUUGGUUCGGGUCAGGUCACAUCAGGUUUGGGCUGAUCGGGGCGAAUGUGCCGGACCGUGGGCCGGCCUGGUUGGUUUGGCCGGAGGAGAGUGCAAAGCACUCGUUGCCCCACCCGUCAAACCGGGCAUCACCGGCCGCGGCGCCGGCCCGGAGAUGCUCGUUUCCCGACUCCCGAGGCACUAGCUGUCGCGCAAUGGGUACGGUGCAAGCUGCAGGGGGCAGAUGGGGACAAGUAAACACCUCACUCCACUCCAUCUCAGUUCUCAGCUGAUGGCAAAGAUGAACUGAGAGCUGAUGGCGAAGAUGAACUGAGAACUGUAGCUAGAUUGAGAGCUGGGGAAAGAGGUCGGGGAGGGGGGAUUUCGUUCCGAAGGCCUUGCUACGAGCUGAUCUUACCAUCACCAUUCAGCAGCACCGAGGUAUGGUUCUCUCGGGUCACAAUGUUUGCAUAUCUUUCUGCAGAUCGAGCUAGGUCUAUAUGUUGGGGAAAAUAAUUAGUUUUCUCUUCCCUUUUUGGCUGGGGAAUGUCAGUGAAAAUCGCAUGGGAAACUUCCGUGAGAUUGUGCCCGUGCGUGUGAGAUUUCGGAAAUAUGUAGGACAAAUCCCGGGCAAAAGGAAGAAGUGGCGUGCUCAAUUUAUUCUUCCCCCAAGUGACUGGUUGAACUCGCUGGAGUUGGUAGCUUUGGUUCGUUAUGUGGACCUGAUAUGAUGUGCCAGUAUCAGGAGGGAAGUGCCUUUGAGGGAUGGGAUCAUGGGAAUGAAUCUUUUUUGUUUUUUUGCCUGCUCCCCUUCUCUCUUCUUCUCUGCUCGCAUUUGGGAGACCUGACGCCUACCAGGAAGCUAGGGGAGUUCAGUUCACGUUGAUUUCUUUGUUUGAGAAUUAGUGUCUUUUUUUGGAAAAAGACACGUAGGUUACCCCCGGUAAAUAAUUAGGCAUUAGAUUAGAAAACGUUAUUUGUCUCAUGAUUUAGAGUUACAAGUACUGUACUUCUCGGACACAUUUCAUGGUACCAAAUUAUAGGUCGACCUAUAAUUUGGAACAGAGGGAGUAGUACGUUAAUUUUAGGUUAUGCAUUCUUAGAUGUAAAGUAUGUGUACCUGUAUUUUGUUAGUUGGAUUUGACCAAUUGGUGUCGAUUCUUAGAUGGAGAAUUUUCAGGGUGUGUAGGUUAAGUGGGUGUUUGGUUCCACCUUGCUAAACUUAGUUGCUAAAGUUUAGCAACUUUUAGCUGCUAAACUGCCAAACACCCUUGCUAAAACUUGCUAAAGUUGAGUUGCUAAAGUUUAGCACUUUAGCAAGUUUUAGCAACCAAAAACUUGUCUCCCCCCUCUUGCGCACCUAUACCCCUCAUUUAUUGCUUGUCUCCCCCCUCCUGCGCACCUUUAAUAAGGGUAGAUAGGUCUUUUUAUAGCUCAUUAAAUGUCUUUUAGCAAGAGUAUCCAAACAGCUUUUGCUAAAGUUUAGCAACUUUUAGCAACUAAAGAUUAGCAAGAGGAACCAAACAUGCCCUAAGAUGGAAAUCAACAACUGUAGGUUUUAAGGACGUGAUUUAUGAAACAUUAAAUGGCUCUAUUGUAAUUAGGAUUUUCGCACUAUAAUAAAUCCCAACAGCUGGCAUCACAGUUUGGAUGGAUUUUAUAUGGGAGGCUGAGAGGUCCUAAUUUUGUGUCUUGAACUAGAUAUGUUGGGCCUAACGAAAUUUAGGGUCUUUCUAUCGAUCGAGAUGGUGUUGGUUUCAGCAGUUUUUUCAGUUACAGUGUUUGAAUUCCCAAAUCAAGGGUAGAAUGGGGAGAUGAUGAAAUGGUAGGCAUGCUGUUUUUCUCUAAACCUUAGGAAGUUUAUUUGUGCCCCCAUGCUGGGUGGGAUACAGGUAGCUCUGGUUUGUUUUUCAUAUGGCUUUCUGCAUAAGCAGGGAAGCAUGUUUCAUCUGUAAAGGAAGGGGAAUGCCACUGGAUGUGGUGAAAAUUUAGAAGGAAUGUACUGAAUGGUGAACGCCUACCAGAUGUCAGAAAAUAUGGGUCAAAUGAAACCUUAUUUAGGAAAUACAUCUCUUACGAGGCUAUAGAUUGUGAAUGAACUGAUACCUUUUUUUUCUGCAGGCAUGUCAAUAACCGAGAGCUUCACGAUAUACCAUGGGGAUAAUUUGUUUACAAAUGGACCUGCGGGGGUGCAGCGGAAUCUGGCCGGCCGCGUCGUGUACAAGAAGCUGCUAGGGCCGCAGUACAUGUCGUUCCAGCAAGUGCGGCGCUGGAUAUUGGAGAUGUUCAACGUGGACGAGGUGAGCUUGUGCUGCGGCACAUCGUGCCUGUAAAGCCCAAGAACCAGGCGCGCGCUUACAACAUGGCGGUUGAUAUAGUAUGGCUUGAUUCCUGGAGGACAUUUCUUGAAGUGUCAUUGCGCCAAGGUGUCUCUUUGGUACUCUAUGUUCAGUGGCAGGCCAAGGCGGCGUCAGGUCCCGUUUGUGAAGGCGCUAUCGGCGAGAAGAACAGCGCCACACCUGCUCUGGCUCCAGCUCCGGCCCCGGCAACUGCCCCUGCGCCCACUCCUGCUCCUGCUCCUGCCCCUGCGCCUGCUCCCGCUCCCGCUCCCACCGCUAAAGAGCCCACCGUGGCCGGUGAACAAGGCGGAAGCUGGGACAGGGAGGACCCGGGCCGACGUCUCUACCGCUGCCCUCUGUUGGAGGUACCUUAUACUAGUUCCUUUUCCCAUGCCAUUAUUUGAAGAAAUUUAUAGAUUAGAGAAGUAGUCAAAUCUACAAAUGACCUCGAUUCAUUCCGCUUCCCAGGAUCCUGGGGGAUUGUGGAUUCACGCAGUGGCUGGACGAGGCCUUCCCUGAAAAGGCGACCAUGCACAUCAACAACCUCCUGAGUAGGGAGGAGUGCCUCGAGCAGCAGGUCGAGAACCUCCAGGAGGAGCUCAACGAGCUCCGUCGCCGGUACGUGACCGGCAGCAGCCAUCGUGACGGGCAAGACAGCGAGACACGCCCACGCCAAGUCCGCAGAAUGAUCUAGGACAACUGAUGGUGUACCCUGCUUCUCCCAGUUUGCAUGAAGUCCUCAAAUGUUACUAGUCAUGCUGUCCGUUUCUUGUUCGUUCAACCAUUUGUUCAGUCAUGUUGUUGCUAGAGCAUGUCGCUCUGAACAGUCUGAACCGUGUUCCAAUGUUAUGCCAUCUGUAAUGUAAAUUACUUGCAUCAACGCAUUUACCAUUUCAGAACAAUGUUGGACGUACUUCUUAUUUUGUCGCUACUUGUAUCGGUUCAAGUAUCAUGUCGAACAACCGUACUGAACCCCAAAUCUUGCACAAGUGACAAUCUGAAAGCUGCAAACGCGUUUGAAUCCAUAAAGGUCUGCAAACAGGCGAGAGUGAUCACUAUCCAUUACCACUCAAGAAUUUCUCAUGUUAUCCCCAUGUCACGGUAAAAAGAAUUUGAAUAUUACCAAUCAGUACAACAUUGUAAAAACUUGGAACACCUACAGCAUGAACAAGCGGAAAAGCACAAUAAGAAGCUAUCACUGAUUGACUAGCAGUAGAAGACUGCGCACAUGGAAAACGGAAUCCAAAACAAAUUGGAAUAGAAAUUGUUUCGCGUGUAGUAUAUAUGACCAACUCUUGUGCGAGGAGCACUGAAAAACUUACAAAAAAAAAAACUUCUCCGUGCAUAUCCUCUUCACGAUGCAAUGUAGAGCAAUCUUCUUAGUGAUAUCCGAAAUGUCUAUGUCGCUAUAUGAACAACAGUGUUCUCCAGAUUCUGAAAACUACCAGCACCAGAUGCUACACGCUAAAAAUGUUCAACAGAAGACAGGUUAAAGUCUUAAAGCACAGUUAAAUAGGGUUAGGUCUUAGAACACAAGUAGAGGCGGGAUCAGAGAAAGAAUUCAAUAUAGUAAUGGUAUAAUGGAAGUGUCAUUGACUACAAUGCAAAGACGACAUGUGGAAUUAUGAAAUGUGCUCUGCUCUGCCUUCAACGUGUUGGCUACCUGCGUCGUCGCUUGAUCAGGCUCCAUUAGAGGAUUAACAUACAACUCUUGAUUUAGCCUUUCCUUUUUCAAAACAGAACUCACAUGAACCCCAUUUGUAAAUAACUGAAUAGAAAAACACAUUCAAUCUGCAUUCUGCAAUACGGACAGAGAUACUGCAUAUUUGAUUUAUUCAUGGAAGUUCAGAGUUUCAAGGCAUCUCAAACUGUAUGGCUGGAAUAUAAAGAACAAAUAUGCAUUGCAUGAGGUCACCCAAGUCUCACCAAAAGGAUCACACUUCAUGUCAUCUGCAAAACUGUAUUUGACCUGAAUUAUCAUGGCAGGACACAACUUUGUUCUUUUUUACCCCACCAUUAAAAGAACAUUUUUACUCAAAAACUUUGAAGGCAAUAAAAAUUUUGCCAUUGGGCUUUCCAAACAAGCUGCCCUUGUAGAAACCAGAAAAAAUUAUGAAAUCUGCUUGUAUAAGCUCAUAAGCUUUCGACUAGAUCCCAUGACUAGCUAUUAUCACCAGCAGAUAGAAUACAUACAAGAAAUAUCGUAUAAACAUCAAGUCAGUAGAACCAGCAAUGGUCUAACCGAGUCCAAGUUCUUUCUUCAGCUUCUCAAGGGCAGCCUCUAUUUCAGAAACACCAUCGUCAAAGUUGUUUGUUGCUGUCUUGCUAUCCUUAGCAUUUUUUGCUUGCCCUCCAAAUUGUGUGUAUGGAUCAUUUCCAGUGUCAUCCUUGGGGCUGGAGUCAUCAAUCUUCAGUUCAUUUUCCAGAAAUUCCACGAAUUCCUCACCAAUUGCCUGAUUGAGCAGAAUGCAAUAGAUGGUUUACAUGACAUUUCCCCAAAGGUACAGCUAGUAGCUGCAGAAUUAUCUAUCCUAAAUAAUUACAUGGUGAUUCUCAACAACAAUAGUUACAAUAAUAAAUUGUGGAAUAAAGCGAACUUACUGCUAAUUCUUCCCAGAGGCUUUUAGGUUUCUGAUCUGAAUUCAACCCAGCUUCCCAGUUCUGAAAUUCUGUUUGCAGAUCUUUAAGGAAUUCCGCUGCAAAAGGCACAAUCACUAUGGUCUCAAGUUUCCAGUGGCGUGAAAACAUUUAGUUGAACUAGACUAAAAGUCUUAUAUCUCCACAUAACAACCACUAUGGUCUCAAAUUUUCAGUAGAGAAUUGGAACCUCCACACCUUUUAGGUCACAUCAAAGUUUCCAACGAGGAACACAGCUCAUGAAAGCACAAGAGGGGAGAGAAUUCAGUACCGAACCCAUAGAAUGGCUCCUCUUCAGCAGUUGAUUUGCUCUCUCUGGAGCUAUAGGAGGACCAUGACGAAUCUGAACUGCUGCUCGCGUACUUGGAUCGGCUCUCUGAGUUCAUCAGUGUGUUGUAAGCAUGCUUGAUCCGCAGAAACUUCUCCUGGGCAUUAGGCUGCAUCGACAAAAUCCACGAAGCUAACGGUAAGCAGAGUCACAACCAACGUUCGUCAAACGGAACGCGAAGGGAUAAGAGCGCGAGCAAGCAAGCGGCAGCGGUCGCCACACGCACUUCCUUGUUGACGUCCGGGUGGUACUUGAGCGCGAGGCGCCGGUACGCGCGCUUGAUCUCGUUGGGCGCCGCCGACGGCGACACGCCGAGCACCUCGUACGGGGACUCCCUCCGCCUGCCGCCGCCGGCCCCAGCGCGCGCCCGCACUCUCACCCGCCGCCAGCGUGGCGCGGGGCCACGACAGGAGAGGCGCGCAGUGGGGUACGAGGGGUUGGAGACGAUAGCCAGGCGAACGAGGGCUCGCGGCGGCGGCGGCGGCGGAGCAGGACGCCUGCUGGAGAAGGCGAGCGGGAGGGGACGCGGAGUGGCGGCCUGCAGUUGUAGCGCCAUGGCGCAGCCGGGCGACCGGAGGCAGAAGAGAUAGCUGGAUUUGUUUUCUUUCGAAUGGCUCGCCACGAGCCUUCUACUGAGCGGGCCAGGCAGGAUUACCAGCCGUCCAGAUCAAGCGGCACCGGGCCACCGGGACCCAUCGGACGGCCAUCCUUAAACUGAAAAGCGUGAGAACAGAUGCUAGUUCUUCGACAUCUCAAUUCUCAACAUCGUGUAACCGCAACAAAACAAUCCGAUUAAAAUUUAAAAGCAUCAGGAUUGAACCCUCGUGCAAAGAGAAUUCACAAGUAGCAUUGAUUUAAAGCAUCAGAGGAUACAAGUAUACCAACGACCUCCCACAAAUCAUACUCUGAAACAAAAUGCAGAGCAUGUCAUCAGAAUACGACUACAGGAGUUUGCACAGGCCAAAAGUCAGAGACUUCCAUCAGGUCUGCUAUUUCAGCCUUCCACAAGCGUGGCAAAGUCUAAGAAUUGGAGUUGGAGGACGGCCCAGGGCCAAGCAGCAACUGCGGCGCAUCCUUCUUCUCGCUGCCGGUAUCAGAAUCAUCUUUCCGAGCAGGUCUUGCAGCUGCCCACGCACGAAGCGGUGGUUCGAACAUCUUCCCCGCAACAUCCGGUGGGGGCUGUUGGGGUGCGUCCUCUCCAGGGAGCACCACGAGGCCUUUCUCCCUGAGGGACGACGGCUCAUUGUAGCACUCCUUCCAGAGCGAAUCCACUAGCUGCCGCUCCUCGCGAGCAGCAUGGAGGUCGUCAGCGUCCAUCGCACUGAUCCCUUCGAUUCGGCUCUUGAGUAUGUCUUUCAACUUGUCUUGGUCGGGUAGAGUGUUACCGGAUGUCUUGUCCUGUGCCAACUCGAGGAGACCACUUAACGCAGCUUCACGCACUAAGGAAUCAUCGCUGGAUGCGAGGUGCAUCAUCAGCUUUGGAAGACCAAGCUCUGUAGCUAUGUUCCUGUCAGCUUUGUUGUUGUGCAGCAGAUAUUGUGUGAGAUUGAGAGCUUUCCUGCAAUGAUACAGCAGAUGUCAUUAGCACUGCAGUUGAAUAAUGCCACGAACAGCGAACGUUUCAGCCAAUACCAAAGGCAAAUUGGUCUAAAGUUCAGUAAAACAGAUAAAAUGGCUCCAAAACACUCAGUGCAAAGGAGCAUCCCGUACACCAAGCUCUCGAUGAUUGCACACUACCAUCAGAAAAAGAACAUUUCAAUACCGCAUGAGCACAAUAUCACAACAUGCUAAUAUUGUUAUGUUAGUAUGUGGCUGCUUGUUCAUAGGGUCCCUAUGGAUUCAAGAAUAAUCUUUGUAAGUGUUACCCUAAUUAUAUACUACUCUCUAAGACACUGUUUAAGAAGAUGCCUCAAAAUCAACCAAAUUGUAAAUAAGUCCUACAAAAUACUGGUAUUCCUGCUCUCCUAGUUAAUUAAUAAUCAACAUACCUCUGGAGUCUGGCAUCAUCAGAACUAAGAGCAUCCUUCAACCCAGCAUAACCAUUUCCCAGGCGGAAUGCAGAAAUUCCAGGCUGGUUAUGACGAAUCAAAGCUGCAAAAGAUAAAUGUAUGAAGUUUAUGUUAGCAUGAGCAAAAGAAGAUACUGUGUGCAAUUAACAGCACAAGUCUAGCAAAGGAUUAUACUCCUUUGAGGCUAUGAUCAAGAGCUAUACUUACAGGAUAUUGCUCCUAAAGCUUUCGUGCGUGCACUUGUACUUGGAUCUGAUUUGAAGUUUGUCAACAGGGGCUCGAGUCCAUUGGAUUCCAUGACAAGUUGCUGACUCUUGGGAUUGUUCUGCACAAUUGUACUCACAACUUCUGCCGCCCUUGCUCGGAUGCCAGCAUGUGAAUUUUUCAAGUAACCAAGUAGAGGAUCUAACCCACCAAUAGAAUGUAGAUCUGUUUGAAUAAUUGUAUAUGUGGAGUCAUUCGGAAUAAUAACCAGAAUAAACAUUUACAGGAAGCAUUGAUUUUCAACUACGAAUCUUACCAUUUGCCAUGUCAAUGGAUUCCACAUGCUCUUGUAGCUCAUCCAACAUAUCUGCAAGUAUAGCAAGUAAAUUGCUAUUCCAGAAAUUUAACGUACUCGAAGUACAACUAUGGUAAAAUUUAAAAUUCUGGUGAACAGGCAAGCAACAACAGUAAACAUCAUCAAUCAUUAAUUUCUCAAAUGGCCUUCGACUUGAGGGUGUUUGACUAUUUUUGCAUAUUUUUCACAUAUCAAUUAGCCUAGAUCGUUACUAUCACAGAGCAUUUGUUUAUUGUGUUUCCACAUCCUCUUAUAAUCGUACAAUACCCUGCCUGUGGAUUAAGAGUUGCACGCAUGCUGAUUGCUGAUGCGUUAAAUAUCCAGGUUACUAGUUAUUAGAUAUCUACCAAUUGCUGAACAUAUCAACAUAAAGGUAAACAAUUCAGAAUACUAGGCCGAGCCUCUUGUCUGUAAAAAGAAUGAAUCGACUUAGGAAGUGGCGUGGAAUGCUCCACACGGUACCUUCAAUGUUCUCUGGGGUCACACCCUGAGACUCCAAGACAUCUUCUGGAGUUUUCAUCACCUGAGUGAUCUCCUUCAUCCUCUUGACAACAUCUAUCGUGUUGGCUUGCAUGGCCUCCAUGAACCAUUUUCUGUCUUCCUCGCUGCAGAACAGAUCAAAUGAAAAUAUGAACAACAGUAACAUUUGAUUCCAUAUUGUUAUUUUUUCUAAUGAUAUGCAUCAAACUAUGAUCAAGUAGAUGAAUAAUUACAGUAAUACAAAACCAUGACUCACACUGCACUUAGACUAAGAACGGUAAUUUUGGCAAGCCACACGAAUUAGGUAAAGGACGUCUCUUAUUUGAGUUCCUAAAGCAUACGGAGUAGUAUGAUAGUAACUGAGCACAUGAAGUUUGAACACUAAGGUAAGCUAAUGAACACUAAUCAUCCAUUAGGGUUUCGGCACCGGACGAGCGAAAAAGGGAGGAAGUACGGGAUCCGGAGACGCGAGAAACAGACCUGAGAGCGCGCGGCGGGUUGGUUCCGUCGCCGUGGGCGAUGCUCCACUUCAGCAGGCCGUUCCAGUCGGGGCCCCCGUCCUUGGCCAUCUCCGUUCUGCUGCUGCUGCGCAAGAUGAGGCGAGACGAACGGCAAAAGGCGAUUGCUUCAGGCGAGAUCGGUAGGGUUCUCGCUGCGAGGUGGAUCCUCCUCUGCUUUUAUGGGGUGUGGUGUGCGGAAGUGGCGGUGGAGAGCAGGGGCUCCCCGUCGUCGUCAGCUGUGGCGUCGUGUAGAUGCGGCGGCGGAUUCCAGAGUACUCCGGAACCUGCGGUGUGCGGCCGCGGCUGGUCGUCUCCUCGACAACGUCUAUGGGCCGCAAAACGCUUGAGCGUUUGGUUACCCUCGGCCCAUCUGAGGUGUACGGAUCCGGGGGCUCCUAUAUGGCUUCCAUAAGCCAAAUAAGCAAUAUAGCUUUAAAAUCCAUUACACCCAUUCAGGAUGUUUGGCACUACUCCACUCCAUGAAAAUUAGCUCCAUUCCACCAACUCUAAAAAACUUGCAGCCAAACACGUCUAGCUCCACCAACUUCAGCUCUAAAAAGGUGAAGCUAGGGGCCAGAUCCACGUUUUUGGUGGAGUACCUCAGGGGUGCUCCAAAAACACAAGUUUCUAACCUCCUAGUGGAGUUGGGCUUACUUACCCACCAUUACCACCGGUUACACAACUUACCGGUUCGUUUCUAAUUUUUCUAUCCCCUCCCAUCGUCAUUUCCUCCCUCUAUCGCUCAACCCGCCGCGACCGGCUCGCCCCCGACAGCCCGAACGCGCCGCCCUUGACCGCCGUCGUCCGCCACCGCCAGCCUGCCCCCGACCGCUGGACCCUGCCGCCCUCCCACCGCUGUUGCCCGCCGCGGCCAGCUCGCCCCCGACCACCAGAAUGCGCCGCCCCCGACUGCUGGAAAGGGCCGGCGGUGGGCGAGCUCCCCCGAGCGCCGCAGUCGGGACCCGUUGCUGGCGGGGGAAGCUUCCGAGGUGCCGCGAUCGGUGCCCAUGGCUGACGGGGGCAAGCUCCCCUGGGCGGCACGGUCAGGGCGUAGGCCGGCAGGGACGAGCUCCCCCAGGGCAGCGCGUGCGGGCUGCAGAACGCCGGCCAAGCUCAAGCUCUGUGUGGCUGCAGGCAAGCGAGAUCCCAUGCGUUGCUGCUCUUGCAAUUUGUGACUAGGAAGAAAGAGGAAAAGGCUAGCUGAAGCCUGCUGAUUGCUUGCUCGUGUAGAUGAGAUUCAUUUUCAUCAUCAUUUCCGAUUGAUGAUUGAUGAGCAAGAUUGUUCUACAUUUUGCAGGAUAAUUUCUCAUAAUACAUGUAGCACUGUCUAAAACUGAGAAGAGAAGAGGAGAGGAGAGAGAGGAAGAGGAAGAGGAAAAGGAGAAAAUAGAAGAGUAUUACAUGUGGACCCAUUCACAGGAACAAAAUAGACUAUUCUCAGCAAGUUCUCAUGUUUCUGGAGCUGGAUCACUACAAUUAGUCAAACACGUAUAACAACUCCAUGAUUUUUUGAAGUUGGUGGAGGGAGCUGCUAAAAGAUGGAGUUAGUGGAGUGGAGCUGUUUGUUUUUUUAGUGGAGUGUUACCAAACACCCCCUUAGUAAACACCCCCUUAGUAGUAACAAACUAGUUUCAACAUUUUUUUACUAUUGAAUCAACAUCUAAAAUUAACAGAUUCAAUAUUUUCUGAAAUAUAGAUCAACAUAUAUUCAACAUUUUUAACUUACUACUUCAACAUUUUGGUAAAUUGGAUUCAACAUUUUUCCAGAGAAGAAUCAACAUUUUUGGGAAUUUUUUCUUCUUCUUCAACCUCCACCGCGACAGCGAGGCCGGCGAGCCCCGGGAGGCGGCAGCAGGGUUAGCGCGUGCGGAUGUCGGGGCAUUGGCACGAGGAGGAGCGCCGCCGAGGUGCCUACAGGGCUGGCGUCGGAACUCCUCGACCGCGAGGCCAACGGCGGUGCUCCUCAACGGCACACGCGGCCGUAGCGCACAGCUGCGGGCGGGGCAAUGAAGCUCCUUUGUCGGGGUGGCGGUGGCCGAAGGCAAGGCGGCGUCAGGUCUAGUGGAGAAGAAAGGGGCUAGGGUUGAGAAGGAUGGGCAUAUCUGACGGAUAAGGGCGCGCGCACGAAUCUCAAACAAACAAUGGAAGGCAUAUAACUAACGAGCUACCGGAAGAUAUAUAGGAUUGGCUUGGAGUCCCUAUCUAUGUUCCGGAAGGUGUAUAAGAGUUAUAACUAUAAAGUCCAAUUAAACCCAUUAGCUACAACUAUUGUAUGGCGUUAACUAGCUAACUAUUCCGUUUUGUUGGACCCUUAGGUAAAUCAGCGUGGGGAUGAAAAAAAAUGUUGGGUGAGGUAAGUUAGCGUGGGGAUGAAAAAAAAUGUUGGAUGAGAAAUGUUGAAUCAACAUUUUUAGAAAACAUUGAAUAAAAAAAUUUAGAAAAAGAUGAACCAACAUUUUUCCGACAAAAGUUGAACCAACAUUUUCGGAAGCUUUCUUCUCCCGCGCCGGUGAGCGGUGCCAGGGUCGGGCUGCACAGCGGUGCACGGGGGAGGCGAGCGGAGGCACGCUGGCAUCGGGGAGCGGGCUGCAGGGGCGGCGGGGCCGGGCUGCAAGGGGUGGCGGCAUGGGGCGCACGUACGGCGCCGGCCGUGGGGCCGGCGACAGUAGGAGGCGGCGGGGGUGGAGGAGAGGGUGGCGGUGGGAGUGGAGAAGGCUGGGGUAGAGUGAUGUGUGUUAGGGUUGUGGGGAUCUAACAGUGUGAGUUGUUUUGCAUGUGGCGGUAGGAGUGGAGGAAGCAGGAGUAGGGUGAUGUGUGUUAGGGUUGUAGGGAUAUAAAGGUGUGAGUUGUUUUACAUGACUCUCAAACACGGGAAGGUGAGGAAAAAAAAGGGAGGGAAAAAAAUCUUCGGGAAGAUGAAUAUACGGAUCCACCACGGGGACGAUGUCGUGUUUGGGCUUGGGCUUUUAGAAGCGACCUCCUCGACAAAGUUAAGAUAAAGCCCAAUUAUCUGCCCAUUUGUGGUGUUCGGACCGAUUCGAUUCUUCUCGAGCUAUGACACAGAGCAUGCCCGUACGGUCUCUGAGCCUGAAGGUGAACUCUGAAGGCGCCUCCUCGAACGUUCGUAAAACCAAAAAUAAGGGGAAAAGUAGCCAUCGCGAGGGAGGCUCAUUUGAAAUUCGUCACAGAAAUAGCAUAUCCCACAAAUGCGACGACACACCACAAAAUUGUGCUGUUUCGAUGCUAGCAUAGAUGCAAUCGCCAGCAAAAUUCAGCUGCUUGUGCUUCUCGUAAGAGGAAGAUAUGAAUUCCGAAGAAAAGGGGGAGUAACACAAGGCCCCCACGGCAACUUGCAUGAACAUUUACAUAAUCUUACAUACACGUACAGAUUGCACACUGCCACAACGUCUACCAAAACCACUCCUAAUCGACUCCUAAGUCCUAGCAGGAUCACACACACAAAAGCACAGCAACAAAUGCCUGCACACCCAUCUUCUCCUCCAAAAACCAAAAACAAAGAUGUGCUGCUGCCGCGCUGAAUCCCCUACACCCUACACUAGCUAUCGCUGGUUCACCAACCGCGCUGGCGGCCGGACCAUCGCCGCCGGCGCGCGCGCACGUAGGCACGCAAAUUCACGCGCAGCUGGAGGCCGCCUGCCUCCGCGGUGGCGCGAGCACGAACAGGGCCUCGAGGUCCGGCGGCUGGAAGUAGCCGCCCUUGGGCGGCUCCCGGCGCUUGCCGCUGCCCCCGAGCUCCGGCAGCGCGACGGCCUUCUUCCUCGGCGGCGCCGCCGGGCACGGCGGCACCACUGGGAUGCGGCAGUCCUCGCGCCUCGGCGUCUGCCACCCCUCCUCCGCCGCUGCUGCCAUCAUCGUCUCCUCGCCGUGGUACUCGACCUCCAUCAUAUCACUCCGGUCUCCUGGGAUGGUUUGAAACAGUGUUCCGUCUCCUCUCCUUGCCGCUAUGAACAGAACAGAGCAAGAGCAAGCAAUCUCGGUGAUAGCGAUGCAAGCGAGCUGGUGGAGCGGUAAAUAUAGCGGUGGGUGGUGACGCAACGGCACGCGCGAAGUGGAGUCCAGCGGCAUGGCGGUGACGUGAUGGGGGGCUCCAUUGGGGGUGCUCGAUCGGUGCAUGACUCGUGGGGACGAGAUGGGCGGGACCCAGAUGUCAGUGGGGAGUAGGUGUGCGGCAGCUUGUGCGGGAGGUGGCGGGGUGGCUGGGAGAGUUACGUGUCACCGACUGGCCGGUGCGCGGGAAGCGCGUCGGUCGAAAGUGUCGGAAUGGUCUAGAGCUGCCGUCCGUCCGGAUUCCUUGUGCCGUUCCCACCGUGCAAACAAGAAAAAGACUUUGCUACCUCUGCACUGUACUGAAGACAGAGGAUACUACUGCAGUAAAAACCUGUCUGGAACUUUCAUUUUUUUUUUAUUUUUUUUACUACGUUACCAUCUGGAGUCGAAUUGUUUUCUACAGUAUGAAUCGGCAAAAGGCAGUAGACUUUGAUACAUAACGAAGGUAGCAAAACCCUCCAAAUGCUAUGGAAAACCUACUUUUUCUUGGACAAAAACCCUACCUUUUAGGAUCGGAAGGAAGCUAACAUCACCGAAUGGAGUCUUCACCGACGUACAAAAAGCUGGUAGCCUACCACAGACCACAGUCCACAGGCGAGUUACUCCGUAGUAUCCUAAUCGUAGUGGAAGAAGCCGAGGAUGGAUGGAUAGACUAGAAAAUGGUACGGUGUCGAGCAUAGCACUUCGGUACGUGGGUCUCUCGCACCGGCAGCCCAGGUUGUGGUAGGGAGGCGCGACACGUGGAGCCGGCCCAUUGCUGGCCAACAGAAAGGUUACCGCCAGCGUGGCACGGCCGUGUCCACGUGGCACUGCAUCGCGAGACAGGACACGGGAGUCGAAGGCGGAAAUCGAAAACCUCUGGCGGCCUCUCCAGCAGACAGACCAGUCGCCUCCAUUCCAUUGCAUACGGAGUAGCCCACGAGACCGCUGGCGGCCCAGCAGGCACACGACGACGAAGAAGAAUCUACUCAGCAAACUCUGGCCCUAUGGGCCGAGAACGUUUCUUUUUUGUUUCCAGGUCGCAGGUUCAGUUAGCCACAAGGUCCUGGAAACAUCGGCCUAUGUACAGGUGAGUAGGUGACAAUCCGCCGUGACCGAAAGAAGAAAAGAAAGAAAUUUUGCAACAAGCUGGUGCCAAUAAAAAGCAAGGAUUUCAUGGUUCAUAGUAUUCCUAGCACAAGCUACUAGCGUAAUUUCGAUUAAGUUAUUACACAAGUGGCACCAAGGCUUUGCGGCACCUUACCCCCAAGGAUCAAACAGAUGUAUCGCAUUGCCAGUUUGCCAGCAGAACAACUACCCCAGCUCAAGGCAACUGAAUUGCCCUGGGGUGGAGUCGCCGCUUGCCUUCUGAAGCACACUCCUUUCUACCGCAGACCUUCGCAGAUCAUGUAGAUCUCCCUUGAACUAGGCCGAGUCGCUUUGGGUCUCAACAAUGAUACUUUCUUGAACUUCACUUUACAAAACUUGCCAAACCCUGCACCAACGCAACAAACAGUCUUAAGUCAGUUAUAGCUGCUGCGAAUGUUCCUCUGUCAGAUGAAACAAUAACACUUAAUUCGUGCUUUGGUGGAAGAGCAAAGAAGCACUUCUCAAAUCAAUAAUGGUCCACUUAUAUUAACCUGAUACGUCCUCGUUCUCAAGAAACUUCAAUACUAGGUUGCCUCCGCGACGAAGAACACCAUCCUCGUCAGGGUCAGGCUCUGUAGAGCUCAGAUACUUUUCUAUGGUAUCACUGUAAUCAGAUUCUUUUAGCUUUAUCUUCCCUAAUGCCAAAGAGAGAGCACGCAUGCCCAAUUCACAAGAUAUAGCUUCAUCUUUGGUUGUGAUCCCUGAAAUUCGUGGACACAUGUCGGACAGUAUCACAGAGAAUCCUCGUUCCUGUAGAAGAGGAUAAAAUCCAUUAAUCAAACUACAACCAGCACUGAUUACAAGUUCGCAGGACACAAAGAAACUGGAAUCCAUGAUUUGGUCUUUCUAAUCAGAAGUUUGAAACCAAAAAGGGAAAGCUUGGCUUUUCGAUUGAUGAAUCCUCCUAAGAGCGGUACCACAGGGUACAAAGGACAGAGGUUUGGGUUAAUGUACAUCAUACAGAGGGCUGAGCAAAAAAAAUGAGCUCAGCUUCACUCAAAAUGAUAAUGCUCCCAUUAUAACAACUAACAGUUGUGCUUUUCAUUUCAGGACUAAAUAAUGAAUAAGUACAUUGCGGCCUUCGAUAUUCAGAUUAUAAUUUCUUGCAUCUCUAGUUCCUACUCCCUAUGGUAAAUUGCCUCUUUGAGUCGUAUUCGAAGUCUAGGAAUGCUUGUCUUUCCAACUAUGAAACAUUAUAUAUCUAACCUAAGUGCUAAUGUCACUUCAACAAACUGAAAGUAUCCUAGGCAAAUCUCACAUUCAGUCCAAUUCAAACUUAAUUGAGCAAUAUGCCAGCAUGCCACCAUUCAUUGGUGUAGCAAUCAUCGCAUCCAGUUACCCAGAUAACCGAUGGCAUCAAGAACCAAGCCGCGAUGUGGGUCGCUGCGGGAGCCAAACAUUUGCAGGAACUCCUUCUGCCCCCCCUUUUUUCUUAGUUUUAAUUGACAUAGCAGAGUUUUGGCUUUCCCAGUUUUGGGGAGGCGAGUGUACAUUGUGUAUAGAACUUUUGUUUUUGGCCCGUCGGGUCUUCCCUCUUUAUUAAUAUAGCAGCAGCUCUCCUACUGGCUCGUUUCCAAAAAAAAAUCAUCGCAUCCAGUGUUCCUGACUAAGCAAAGCGGAUAAAUGCAAGCAGAAGUAAGCAAACAAACAAUCGAACCUGUGGCGACAUUGCCCGAGCCUGCUGCUUCAUCAGAGUCAUGACAUCUGCACAGACCGUCCUGACCCGCGAGUCGCAGUGAGCAGAGGGGACCUUCACCUUCUGCUCUGCAACAACCGAGUCAUCGAAUCAGACCGACGGCCCAUCCAUCAAUAAUCCAUCGCACUGACGAACAACAAUUCAACCUUUACUGACCUUAACAUCGACACCGACGACAACGCCGCCCUUCUCGAGGGGACCCAGGUUCUGACACGCCACCUGCAGGAAGCAACCACCGGGCAAGUUAAUCGCAUCUGGAAAUGAGGACUGAUCACAUACUGAGAGCUCGAGGAGACGAGGAAGAGUAAACGGAUCGUCACCUGGAGCCACGCGCCGGGAGCACAGCCGAGGUCGAGCACGGCUGCUCCGGGGGUGAUGAGCCUGUGCUGCUUCUGCAUCUGGAUCAGCUGCGGCAGCAACGCAAACGGUCAGCGGCAUGACACGGGAAGAGAGAGCCACAGGGAGAGCGCGGGAGCUGACCUUAAGUGCGGAGCGGGCGACAUAGCCCAGCCGCUGCGACUCACGGUAGAAGAAGUCGGCGGUGCCCCCCGCGGCGCUCAUGGCGACCUCGUCCGACGGCGACGGCGACGGAGGGGGGAUUGCUAGGGUUUUAGCCCGUCGUCUUUCCUUCCUUCUUUUUUUUUUUUGCGGAGAAGAGGAUUUAGCCCGUUCUACAUGAUGGGCUGGUCCGUGUUGGGUUGGGCCCUUGGGCCUUCGCAUGCGUAGCCUUUGCUACAGUAAAAGGUGACGUGGACGGCCUCGGCGCCGCGCGACCCAUCGGAUCGGCAAGACCUUCUAGACGGUUCUCAAACCCACCGGCCACUGCGGUUAUCGACAGCACCAGGUCCUGCACGAAUCGAGUCGCCGCGAGCAGAGGUCAUGGCGGAUUCGGCCGCGCCCCGUCCAACCGUCCUCGUCACCGGCGCCGGCGGCCGCACAGGUAGCUCUACCUUCCCCGUCAACACCGUUAGUGACGAACAAGAGAGAUGUUCUGCCAAUUCGCCUGUUGGUCAAGGCUGAUGAUACUACCUGAUGGGGAAUUUUGGUUGGCUAGCGUGUGGGAAUUUUGAUCGAAAUGAGAAUGCCUUCGAUUUUGGUAUACCCACAAUUUAACUGCCGUCUUCAUAGAUAUAGUUUUGCUAGUAAAGUUGCAGUAGGUGUGUACGAUUUCUGCAACUCUAUUUUUCUUUGCGCCCUCUGCUCACACUGGCAUUACUUGAUGUUAGGCCAUAUUGUGUACAACAAGCUGAAAGAGAGAUCCGAGCAAUUUAUCGCGAGGGGCCUAGUGAGGACAGAGGAGAGCAAACAGAAAAUUGGGGGAGCAGAUGAUGUUUACAUUGCUGAUAUAAGGGAUGCAGAUCAUCUAGUGCCUGCUGUUCAGGGUGCUGAUGCUCUCAUAAUCCUCACAAGUGCCGUCCCGAAGAUGAAACCGGGUUUCGACCCUAGCAAAGGUGGGAGACCUGAGUUCUACUAUGAAGAUGGAAUGUACCCUGAGCAGGUUAAUUGACUGAAUCUUUCUCCAAGAUCACAUGUACUUGUGCAUUCAUACAAUUUUUCAUCAAUUUGUGACUUGUGAUAACAUUGUCUUUGGAUGUGCUUUAGGUGGAUUGGAUUGGCCAAAAGAAUCAGAUUGAUGCUGGUGAGCAUAUUGAUCAUUCUGCUUUAUGGUUCAAUAUUUUUUUUGGGCACAUAAUAAGUCAGUAUAGAUGUUUGUUAAGUGGAUUCCCUCUGCUGACAGCCAAAGCUGCUGGAGUUAAGCAUAUAGUGUUGGUGGGAUCCAUGGGAGGAACAAAUCCUAACCAUCCAUUGAACAGUCUUGGUAAUGGCAACAUACUGGUAAGUUGGGAGUCUGAUUAUUUCCCUGGAUAACUGCUUUCCAGUCUCACUUGAAUCAACUUAUUAUAAAUGUGAUUAUCUUAAUUAUUGCAUGUGUUUGCUGCAGGUAUGGAAGCGCAAGGCUGAACAGUAUUUGGCAGACAGUGGGGUCCCUUAUACAAUUAUAAGGUACACGGUGCAUGUAGAUCGAAACAAAAUCCUUCUGCUUGUAGUUGCGUUAGUCUCAUUCCAGUAUAUUUCUCUCAUAUGUUUUGUGUAUCUAGAGAGGCAUUUAUCUGGAUUGUGUGAACAAAAUGCCAGCCUUUCUUUUCUGGAAAAGUUAUUUCAUGUAGCAUUGUCUUGUGUAAAGGCUUAAGCAUGGAAUUCAUACAAAAGAAAAUAGUCAAUUUAAUGUCUACUCUGGUAUAUAAUCUGAUGCUCUUUUCUUAUGUGUUUUCAAAUUUUAGGCCUGGAGGUUUGCAAGACAAAGAUGGAGGAGUGAGGGAGUUAGUUGUUGGAAAAGAUGAUGAACUUCUCCAGACUGACACAAAGUCUAUUCCUAGAGCUGAUGUGGCUGAAGUUUGUGUUCAGGUAUAUAUGCACUAGACCACCAUCUUCACAGAUGUGACUGAAAGAACCAGGUUAAAAUUGGGUAUGGCCAUGGACCCAUUGGACAGCAUGGUGGAACAACAAUUCUGAUCUUAAAACUUUUUUUUGCCUGAUAAUAGGCUCUGCAGUAUGAAGAGGCAAAGUUCAAGGCGUUUGAUUUGGCUUCAAAGCCUGAAGGUGUGGGCACACCAACGAAGGACUUUCGGGCGCUGUUCUCCCAGAUCAUGGCUCGGUUUUGACCGAUCCGCUAAGAAUCCUAAGGUCUACACACCGUUGGUUUCCAUGGUGUUGCAUUCCAUUGCUUGUGGACUUGUACUAGAUAUAUAAAAACUAAGUAGCUUGUGUAAUGGGGAGCUGUAAUUUGGUAUGAAUCCAAGUGUGAUUGCAAAAUCGCAUUGUCAAACUACUGAAAGGAAUCGGUGCCUUAUUGUAAGAUCCUUUUUCUUUCGAUAAAGUAAUCAGUGCCUUAUUCUAAGAUGCGCUGCUGUAGUUAAAGGGCUCUUUCUAGUUGCCAUUGCCACUGUGUACGCUGUUAACACCAAUCAGCCAACUUAUUCAGGCGUGGCAGUUUGCAUAAAUCCCACAGAACAAUUUAUUCAGGCACAGCUAGUACAUCUGCUUAGGUUCUUCGGUUGCAACUUUCCCAGUGGCUUCGAAUGACGCAGGUAAGACAUGUCCUAGUAGGUUCUGUCUGCAAAUUGGUGUCUACUUUUGGAUGAACUUUUCGGUCAUCCAGCUGGUUCAUUGAACAAGGCAGAUGGACAUGGCAUCACGAAACUUUUGGCUCAGAACUAGGCAGUUCUUCAGUUAAUUGAAAGCAAAGCUUCAUCAAAUUCCCAUGUUGCUGGUGACUAUCUCAUCACGCAAAAAUGAUUUACUAAAGCAAGAAAGCAAACAAUGAAAAAUGAUUUACUAAAGCAAUGAAAGCAAACAAUGAAGAAAUUUUAUUGGAGCUUGCGACUCAAUGAACAAAAGGUUGGUGUAUUCUAUGAUAGAAGAGGAAGAGAAAGUCCUAUAACACUAUUACAUAAAUGUGGUGGGGUAUGCACUUACAGGCUGUAUCUAUUCCAAUCAGUUUGAUCUUCAACAUCUUCGCUACCAGAAAAGCGCUAGAAUUCAUUAACAUAAACAUUAUACAUGAUGAAUUGCUGAAUCCGUAUAUAAAUGCAUCGAAGGAACGGAGGCAAACAAUGAACGAAAUUUAUUGGUGCUACUGGUUCGACGAAUAAAAUUAGUGUCUUCUAUUAUAUGAUAGGAGGAACAAAGUAAGCUACAGCAAAAACCUGUUACUUCAUUGCACAGAUUAUGCAGACACCAACAAGCAUCUUUUAUUGCAGGCAAUUAAAAUUUCAAAAUUUUGGCUUCAGGAGAACGGCCAGAAUUCAUGGACAUAAACAUCAUACAACAAAAUGAAAUGACGAAAAAAAAUAAUAAAUUCAUAGAAAAUGUCAGCUGAGCCCACUAAUAUUUACAGGUCUAGCUAGUCCAUGCUGAAAGAGCAAAUAUGAUACGGCCCUUCCAACCUUGUAGCAUCCACUUGUUAUCUUCGUCAACAAGGAAAUCCCUGUGGUAGCUCUUGCUCACCUUGUAUCUUGCUCUCUUCAUUAUCUCUUCGUUCAGGCGUAGCUGCCUAAAACCUGCCCUGAGGUUCCUCAUCUGCCACUGUUUGUAGGUCUCUGGCCUUUCAAUCCUCUCUGUGCCCUCACAGGCAAUCACAUUAAGAGCUUCCCGUCCAAAGAAUUCACUUUCUAUCAGCAGCCUAUGUUCAUCCAUCCGUGAGGCAUUUGCUUCAAGCAUAUCGAAGAUUGAAGAGAAAAAAAACAUAGCCUCCUUGAACCGUGUCACGAAGAAGGGUGCAUUGUAAGUACCAUUGACAAUCCCAUGAACGAACAAAUGGGGAUUCAACUUUCUGAUUGUGUUCAAAACCCUUGUUCUGGGGCUGUCAUCUGUUACCGUCUCGUCCAUCAUGUUCCUCAUUCGGUAAAGGCAGUUGACGACAAGAUACUCAUCGCUUUUUAUCUUGAGAUCUUCGACUUGGAUGGUAUCCCACUUGGAAGCAAUAGCUUGAUAUUCGAAGGGAAUGUUGAACAUACGGGCAUACUCAUGUAACCGUCGCCCUGUCGCCUCUAUACGCUCUGCAGGGCGGAAUCCUGGUAGGGGAAAAUCGAUACCAGUGAUCCGAAGGCUUGGGGGCCCACCACAUCUCUUUGAGAGACGCUGCAUGAGGACUGGCCACUGAAAACCAUACUGUACCCCAUAGUCAAUAAUGUGCAACCUUGCUUCACUCUUAGAAGCAUUCAAGAUGGUCGUAUUUGCAACGUAGUGCGAUAUUAACCUAAAUGAGCAUGCCUUAACAUAUAAACCGAAUGCUCUCAGCAUUUCACCAGUAGAAGUUCUCUUUGAAGUAAGUGAACGGUAGAUGCUGCUACCAGUGCCAGCUAGGCGAGCCUCGAGACCAUUAGCGAAGUAGUGUGCCAAUCUCUGGCCAGCAUCUCCAGUAGCAGAAGAAUGCUUCCUAAUCUGUUUUAACAACUCAUUUGCGUUUCGGUGAUCAUCAAUAGCUGCGGCCUGAGCACAGUGUAUAAGUAGGGUUGUGAGAUCGACCGCCUCCUCUUCUGGACUAGUACCAGAUCUUCCCUUCCUUCGGCCUCUUCUAUUUCCCGAUCCUUUCACAUAUCUGCCAUUGAUUUGUGCUUCAGCUGGCAUUGGUGAGUGGAACUCGCAAUUUGCAUCAGUACACAAAAGGACUUUGUCAAACAUCUCUCGGACAGUCUCCUCAUCGCACAAUGCCAAUUGUUUGCUCUUCCUCUCCUCCAUCUCCAGAUCAUCAUCGUGUGGGUUCUUCGUCUUCCUACCUUUAUGAGUGGCACCAACUGAACACUCCACCACCAUCUGACUAGGUAAUUGGGAAGAGUUCUGAUUACUUGUGACCACAUCAUGAAAUCCUCUGCUUCCAGUGGACUCACAAUCGUCAGUCAUCCAAGAUUUCAUUUCAUAGGCCUGUGCCAUGAUAGGCUUAGCAGACUUAAGAAUGUCAACAAAGGGUUUCUCGACGGCGAGGAGGGCUGAAUCCUCCACAGAUGCACUGCUAACAGGGUAGGAUUCGUCAUCCUCAUCUUCGAGAAGGAAUUGAUUGAUGUAUGCAAGGACCGCAUCAUCGGCAUCAUCGGCGCUGUCCAGCUCUGUUGUGGUUGUUGAUGCCGGACUCGGUGUGGUGCAGCCAAGCAUGACCCAGGGUGGCGAUGGAUGAGAACUCACGGGAGGGUUGUGGCUGUGGAAUCCAUAUGAAGGGAAAUAUUGAACUUGUGAUUGUUGUUGGAGGGAGAAAUUAAUCAUGUGAGGGGUGGGCGGAUUUGGGGUGGACAACUGAUCACCAAAAUCAAUAUUAUCACGAGAACCAGGGUCCAUCAUAAUUCCUUGAAGCUUCUAUCCACAAGAAAGCCUAUCCGUGUCGCAGUCACUUAUAGGUUCAUGAAUCUCAAUCCCACAUCUACUGUAACUCUCUUUUUCCCUCUAGAACACAACGAUUCCGCUUAGAGAACUACAAAUGGCAAGAAAGCUGAUGAUGGAACAAAGUAUUGGCAUCCCACGUUUUUGCCGAGAAGUAAUUUGAAAAGCGAAAGAAGAUGAGAUUUACCCUACAAAGCGAUUGAAGAACAUGGACGGGCAACUGUCUGGCAAGAUCUGUGAUCUACGCUACUAGGAAAGACUGGCAAGCGUUGCUUACUUGCUUAGUUGCGGCUCCAAGGAGACGCGUUGCUCUCCAUCCUAAGCCUGGGAUGCUGGCGCUGAUGCGUGUAACCUUGGAGGAAGAAAGCAGUGGUGAUUCGGGGCAGCGGCAGCAAGAGUCCAAGGACAAGAGCUCUGGUUGGGGUAUGCGGCAGUCGCCCGUCGGGCGGUGGUUCUCUUUCGUCAACUGGGAGAUUUGUUUACUUAAGUUGCAUCAGCAACGAAUCAGCAGUCGGAUUGGUGCUCCUGUGUUUGGUAAUCGAGGUGGGAGGAGGGGAUGCACCUCGGUGAUGCGCGAGGAGGUGCCGCCGCACGGGACGGGUCUGGGCGCAGAAAUGAUCGGAUUCUCUGCGAAGGUAACUAUGGUUUGCAGCCGGCAAGGACGAGCCAUCUUCGCCGUAGUAUUUUUCUUUUCGUUUCCGAAAUAUACCGGACUUUAUUUUUAUUCCCGGAUGUGGCCACACUAUGCAUGUAUGGCACAUCGAAAUGAAGUUUUUUCAAAGGAUGAUUGAUUAAGGUAAUAUUUAUUCAAUCAUAGUAAUCAGUACAAGCAUCAUUGAGUCCAUGAUCUUUUGUGAAGCAAGGGCAAUGGCAAUCUUGAUUUGUUCUUUAGGUGCGUUUUUUUACUACUCCCAGUUUAUUUAGGCUCACAACAAAACUUAUGCAUCUAGAAAUGUCAAAACUAAUAAUAAUUUGGGAUGGAAGGAGUAUCUUUUUAGAUGAUUUUACUACCUAUACAAGACAUGGAACUAAAAGCAUUGCGAGCCGCAUGCGUGGUCAUGGCAAUUGAUGGCAGGAAGAAUCUGAGUAGGCCCUGAAGACCAAAACACCAAUCACUGGUGUGGAACCGGACGAGAUGCCGGGGACAAUUUUAUGAUGAUGUACCAAGCGCAAACGAAAUUGGCCCGUAACACUUGUUCUUCGUCGCCACGAUUGGCCCAAAGCUUGUGACCUUCCCCACCUGGGCUGGAGGCCUACAGCCGAAUUUUUUUUAUAUAUUUUUUUAUUUUAGUAUUUUACAAAAUAUAUGUUCUAAUAAAAAAUUGUAAAUUUAUAUCUAUACCGCUGUUUGAAACGGCUAUAGCCAGAUGAAACGGCAGAAAGUACAUUAUAGCAAACCUUACCACCACUUGAACCGGCGGAAUUUACCUUAUCUGGAUAGCACACUUUCAAAAAAUCAUAACUAAUUUAUAUGAACUCCAUCUAUAAACUUUAUAUGAAUUUUAGUCUGAAACUUGUGUCAAUUAUUUGAGUACCAAGAUAGCUUCAAAUAAAAAAAGUUUUAACUACAAAGUUAUAGAUCUCGUCGAGAUCUACAAUUCUAACAUAAAGUAUAUCUCCAUCCAAGUUUAUAUGAAUUAAUUAUAAUUUUUUGAAAGUGUGCUGCCCAGUUUCAAUCUAAAAUUUGAAUUUUAAUCUAAAACAUGGAUCGAUUAUUUGAGUGCCAAGAUAACUUCAGAUGAAAAACUUUUUAACUACAAAUUUGUAGAUCUUGUCUAGAUCUACAAUUUUCAUAUAAAAUUUAUCUUCAUCCAAGUUCAUAUGAAUUAGUUAUGAUUUUUUGAAAAUGUGCUACUCAAAGAAGGGAAAUUCCGCCGGUUCAGGUUCCUGCUACGCACCUUCCGCUGUUUCAUUUGGCGAUAGUCAUUUCAAACGGUAGAUUUCUAAUUUUUAUUACGAUAUAUAUUUUUGCAAAAUACUAAAAUAAAAAAAAAA
rnacentral:lncRNA from 1 species